AUUAUUGCCAAACACUUGCAAAACCUCUUGCCUUGCACGUUCUUGCCAAUCUUGAUGCUUGCUCAAUAAGACCAUUGUCCAAUUAAGCAAAACAGAGGUAGUCUCUUGGCCGGCAAGGUAAAAUAGCUUACACUCUUCGAUCACAUCGUUCAUGCUGAACCCAACAUUUUUGUUAUUUCCAUGUUCUUCAAUCUCUCUAAAACUGGUUUCCAUCAGUAUGCCUAACAAGUCAUCAUUCGCAGCUUCCCCUGCUCUCAUUGCCUUCUCCCUAUUUUUGAUGAUUCCCAUCAAUGAAGCCCGGAUUUCCUUGUCAAUUUCUUUCAUUCUCCUAUUUCUCUUUGUAGGUAAAAACCUAUAUAUAAGCAAUGAAACAACUUUAAAGACAAGAACUAAACAAACUAAUCAAACCCUUAAUUUUUUUUUUUUACCCUCUUUUUACCAAUCAGAAAUCUGCUGGAGCCUCUUAGAAUAACUCUAUGAUUAGCUCAAUCAAGAUAUCUGAGCCGAAAUCAGCUAGGUCUACUUCUAAUAUUUUGCGCGAAAGAAAAUAACUCCCACAAAGCUAAUCAAAGCCUACUCAUAAAUAAUCCUAUAUGACAUGUAUAUAUGAAUGUUUCCAGUGAAGAGAAAUGUGAAUAUACCUCCAUCCUGGAAUGUGAACUGAACGAAAGACUUGCAUUGUGAGUUCAGCUAGCUCUGCCUGGAGCUGAAAAAUCCUUCUUCCUUCUUCAUAACUACUCCCAAAAGCCGUUCGAGAAAUCACAUCACUUGUUAAAUUUGCAAGAUAAGGCCAUACAUCCAACUCAGAUGAUCCUUCUACAGACAUUUGCUUCUCCCACUUUGUAAUUAUUUCGGUACAACUCAAGUAGAAUGCUGGCAACAUAAGCUGUAACAAAAGCAAGAAAUCUAAAUGAGGGCAAAAUCGAAUCUUCCAAAGAUAUGUAAACAAAUGGAGAAGUUAAUUAAUAAACCUUGAGCUUCUCUUGGUGGAAGGCUGGGUUGAUGAGUUUUCUAUGUUUAGCCCACUUCUCCCCCUCAAGGCUAGCCAAUCCAACUAUCAGCAGCCUGGCAAGUGGGAUUGAAUUGACUUUUUGAAAAUCAUUGAUCUUGGUAAAUAUCGCUUUUAUUUGAUCAGGAUUCAUAAUAUUCACCCUUGGUGUCGGACCAAACCACAUGAAAGAAUUCUUACCUGCAGAAAUUUUUUACCAAUAUACGCACAUGUUACUUGUUAGAGGCAGAUGGUACAUUGAAAAUGGUAGUAUACCUAAGCUGUGAAAAAUUAGUGAUUUUAUUCACAAAUCAGUCAAAGAAUAACCAUUCAUACUAAUUGAUUUUACCUCAAGCAGAAAAGAUCUAACAAGCAACUUUGCCCAUUAUAAGGUAAACAAUUAGAAACAUGGCACGAUUUAUAAGAUAAUGUAAAAGCCUAACGGCGUUGAAACAGUGAAUUAAUCAGACAACACUCAGCAAAAGGAACAACGCUGCCCUCUGGGAAUUUUACAUGUGGCAUAGCCCAUCCACAGGUUGAAUUACACCCACGCACCUAUCUCAUCAAUACAUUAGUGGUUCUAGCCACUCAGUCAAGGCUGAGUGGUAAAGUAUCACCACUUAAUUAAAAAAAAAAAAAAAAGGAAAAAAAAGAGAGAGAAGUUUAGCCGCAACGUCGAUUUUUUUCUCUGAUCAAAGAAGCGUAAAAUUAUGUUUUAACCCACCAAAAUUUUCAAGAAUUAUCUUUACGUGAACCAUCUCUACUGAAUCAGAAGUCUAAUCAAAUUUCUUUCGUCGGAGAGGAUUAAUUCUUUAAGCAGUGGCACAGUCCAGAUAUUUGAGUCAUUUGAGACCAGAACAGAACGUAUCUACUUUUGAACGAGUAAAAUUAAAAGAGUACACGCCGGGAUUGACAUACAUACCAUAAUCAUUUACCAGUUUAUGAAGGAAUGGAUUGACACGAAUAGCAAUAUUGUCAUCCAAACUGAGGGGUCUGGCUUUGGCUUCCUUCAGCUCGAUGGAAUUUUCUUUCAAGUCACCAAACAGAAGCCUGUAAGAAUUGCCUUUUAAACCUUGCUGUCUCAGGAAUUUCUCCAGCUUCUUGGGCCUCAGCCACACCCAGUUCAGCACUCUCCAUGCCCAUGUUAGCACCGUUAGAAUAACAAUGGUAACAGCUAUGGAUUUCAGAGGCAACUCCAUUUCACACUGACAGAUUUUGCGGGUUUAAAUUUGCAGAGACGAACGAGAAUGAUAUAUAUAGUCAUCAAGCGAAUGAGAAAAUCGUUUUCCUUUGCAUGUGUUUUUGAUUAGGUGUUUUCUGGAUCGAUACGUGUCAAGCUUGCAUGUGACUGUGAACUGUGGACCCUGUUCUAGAACUAGACUGUUUGGGAUCGAUUAAUUUUAAAAAAUAAACUAAAAUUCAUAUGGUAAGAAUUUUUAAGUAUAAAUGUUUGUAAAAUAAAAUCUAAACCUACAUUUGAAUGGCAAGCAUCUAGAAACAAGAUCUGUAUUCUGUCAUAUGACGCCAGGAAAUAUACUGCCUUUUCGUAAAUGCAUAAUCAAGCAGCAUGAUGUGCUCUGCUUUCACACGAAUGUAGGUCCACUUUGUCUUGGCUUUUACGGAAUUUCAAUUCUAUUGUUAUGGGGAUUAAUGGCUCUGCUUAAUUUUGGGGUCUGCUUUCAGAGAAAUACAAAACGAUUAGAACUCUGCUUUGUGAUACAGACAAGACGCAAUGGAUCUAUCAUCUUCAUCUCUACUCCUAUUUCAUUUAUCUUUAUCAUGAAUAUAAUCCACGAUUCUCAAACAUGAUAAACAAGGUCACAAACUAUGGUGUACCAAUCGGCUGUUUUUUUUUUAACUUAAUUAAUUUAAUUUAAAUCAUUGAGUCCAUUUAUUUUUUCAACUUAAUGAAAAUUUUCAAUCACUAAAUCAUUCAGUUACCAAGCUAAUUUUUAAAUUUUUUGUUUAAUCUAAAAAGUCUAAAUAAUAACAUUAAAAGAUUUUCUCUAAAAUAUCUCUAUCUAAUUAAUUAAUUUUUACCCUUACCUAAAUAAAUUUUAAUAAUUGAUGUUAUUACCUACCUCUAUAACUUGUGAUAAUAUAGUGCACUAGUAGACUACUAUUAUUUUUUAUUUUUUAUUUUCUUCAAAUUAAAAUUAUUUAUCUUCAUAAUUUUUCAUAAUUAUUUUUCAUAUAAAAACAUCAUAAACUAUAGUAAAAUUGAUUAAUAUAUACUAAUUUAAAAUAUUAAAAAGAGUAUAGACAUUAUGAGACAGUAUCAUUAAGCAGCUACUGGAAUAAGAUGUUAUGAGCCUAAAUUUUAUAAGGUCAAAGUUGAAUUUGGCCGAUCCUUUAACAAAAAAAACUAAACAAGAGUUUAGUAGAGAUCACAUCAAGGGAGAUGGGACUAGUGGCUAGAUCAUAAGACAAGAGUGAUGGUAACCCUACCUAUGUGAUUGGAGAUCCAUGAAAAAUGUUCAAUAAGUUACUUGUUGUUUUGGAAUGCUCUCAAUAUUAUGUAAUCUUAUUUUUAUUCAAUAAAGAUUUUCUUUAUUUAUAAGUCCUCCUUAUAAUAAGAUAAUGUUUAUCGCAGUGAGUUAGGUUAAGCAAUUGAGCUUUUCAUGAACUCCAUAACUCAAUUUUUAUGUAUGAUGGUGUGUUAAAACUGCAUGACAUACUUGAUGGAGGUUCACCUAUGUUAGUGUGGAAUUGGAUAAGUUCCUAUGAGAGUUAAACAUGCUUCUCUAGAGCGCUCAUGAAUACAAGGGCACAGGGCUACUAAAGUGCCAAACCGCAGAACAACAAAAUAUUGAGAGAGUUUAAUGUGAGCUUCUAGUCAUCUGCCUUACAAAAAAAAGAAUAUUGGUUUAUAGAAAUUAUCAGUUUCACCAAGUUCCUAUGACACAUGGUUAGUUAUUCAAUGGCCAGUUCAUAGCCCCAAAGGCACCAGUUCAUAUGCAUUAAACUCUAUGGACAAUGAUGAAGUCGAAAGAAAUUGAGUAUUUUGAAAUAUGUGGAGGAUUGUUAAAGAUUGAGUUGGUAUUUUAAAAUACCAAUAUUCCACAUUACUUAAACAAAAGAGUACAAGUUGGUUUUUAUAUAGAAAACAAAUAUAGUGUAGUAACAAGCCUAUGAAGAGGAGGCUCAUAUGCAUGAAACCAAGCGCGAGAGAGGAGUUCAUUCCAUGACUCUAUUAAUUGGUUGCUCGUACCCAAUAACUCACUCGCAAUGGGGACCCUCCUUCCCCCCAUGGGGUGUCAUGUAUGAGUGUGGGCUUGGCCAUCUAUUAUGUUUUGUCCUUUGUUUUAAUUUUAUUUAUUUUAAUUCGAAUUAGAUUGAGAAUUCAAUUCCUAAUGGAAUUAGGAUUUAAUAAACAUAAUUAUAAUUCAGAUUUAGAGAGGAAAAGGGGGUUAGGGCUUGUAUCUAUUUAAAGAGCCGAAUAUAUCACACUAUGGUCAUCCAAAAACUUACUCUCUUGCUCUCUGUUCUUUGUUGCUCUUUGUUUUCCUUUCUUUCGUCAUUGUACGUUUUGCUAUUCUGAACUAUCAAGUUGAAGUGCAACAUCACAAUCGUAAUAGUAAUUGUAUCAUGGAGAUCAAACUACUUUUGUUAGCCCUUCUUGCACCGAAAUACUGCAUCUUGAGAUCAAGCUUAUUCCAACAUUUUUGUUGUUUCCAUGUUCUUCAAUUUCUCUAAACUUGGUCUCCAUCAGUAUGCCAAGUCAUCAUUUCCAGCUUCCUCUGCUUUCAUUGCCUUCUCUCUGUUUUUAAUUAUUCCCAUCAGUGAAGCUCGUAUUUGCUUGUCAAUUUCCUUCAUUCUCUUAUUUCUUUCUGAAGGUACCAGCCAGCCUAUAAGAAAUAGGAACAAUAGAAAAUACAAGAACGUAUUGAAUGCACUAAUCAAAUCCUACUUAUCGAUUUCAACAAUAUGAUUAACAUCUUAGAUUAACCAUAUGACGACAUGGAUCGAAGUUAUAAGCCCAGGAUGGGUCAAACCUACUUCCAUAUUUUUGGAAGAAAAUCAACUCCUACAUUGCUAAUUACUCCCAGAAGCCGUCCUCAGAAUCACAUCACUAGUUAAUUUUGCAAGAGAAGGCCGUGCACCCAACUCACACGAUCCUCCUUUUGACGUCAGGUUUUCCCACUUUGUAAUUAUUUCACUACAACUUUGCUAGAACGCAGGCAACAUAAGUUGAAACGAAACAGAAAGAAAUUAAAAUGAAGACAUUUAUGUAAACAAAUGAAGAAAUCAAUUAAUAACCUAGAGCUUCUCUUGGUGGAACUGGUUGAUAAGAUUUCUAUAGUAACCCACUUGUCACCUCAUGGCUAACCAAUGCAAGUGCCAAUAAUCUGGCAAGUGGAUCUGAAUUGAUUUUUUGAAAAUCAUUGAUCUUGGUAGAUAUCUCUUUGAUUUGAUCGGGCUUCACAAUAUUCAACCUUCGCGUCGGACCGAACCACAUAAAUGAAUUAUUGCCUGCAUCAAUUUUUAAGCUCUGGUUAUUUUGCUCGUGGCAUAACUUACCACAGCUUGAGUUACACCCAUUGGCCCAUGAUAUCAAGAAAAUUAUUGGUCUCGCAAACAACAUAGCUCAAAUGUUUCAACACCAUACAUAUUUUCUUCAUUAAUUAAAAAAAAUUACGUUUUAACCCAUAAAAAUAUUCAAGAAUUAUCUUGAUGUGUAUGAUCUCUACUAACUACAUUUAUAACGAGAAGUCUAUUUGGAUUUCUUCCACUUAUAUCAGCUCUACAAUUGUGCAAACUGAAUUAGUUUUAUUAAUAAUGGCACAAUCCAGUCGAGAUAUUAUCGUCUAAACUUUCUUUCAAGUCACCAAACAGAAGCCUGCAAGAAUUGCCUUUGAAACCUUUGCUGUCUCAGGAAUUUCUCCAGCUUCUUGGGACCCUCAGCCACACCCAGUUCAGCACUCUCCAUGCCCAGUUCCCACUGUUACGAUAACAAUGGUCAGGUCUAUGGAUUUCAGCGGCAAUUCCAUUUCACACAGAGAGAUUUUUGAAGUGUUCAAAGAAAUGAGACUUGCCUACGUGGUAGAUUAGUUGAAAGUGAAUUAAAAACAUUUUUUCGUUUGCAUAUGUUCAAUGGCUUUUCUUAGUUUCGAAUUUUCCUGUACCAUUAUAUUGUCUCCAGCUAAUGGUACACGUGUCAAUAUCAAUCAUGCAUGUGGUGAUCUUUGUGGACUUGUCACUCAUUGACUGUCUUCUAUAGAACUAGAGAAUGUAAGUUCGGUUAAUUAUUUGAAAAAAAAAAAUUGUUUACCCCUAAUACAUUAAUUAUUCUCAAAAUAUCCUCAAACUAUAAUAAACAUUAAUCAAUCCACAAUUACUAUUAAGAAGGUAAAAAAAGAAAAAAGAAAUCAUCAAUCGUUCCCAUUUGAUCUUAUUUUUUGAAUGAUCAUUAGGGUAAAUUAAGGUUUACAAGAAUUUAGAGAUAACUGAAAUUAACAAAAAAUAAAUAAAAUAAAACUCAUCUAAAUAAAUUAUGCAUGGUGGGCCUAUUUGCCCUUUAAAACAUACUCAAAAUAUACUAUUAUUUAUGUAUACUCAUUUACUUAUUUUAUAAAAAGGGUGGGGCUAUUUGCACUCUUAACAUUACUAGAAUAUUCUUAUUUUAAUAAAUUGUUUUAUUACAAAAAUACUUAUUAUAUGAAUUUCCAAUAUGGAAUCUCUCUUAUAAACUAACAUAAUAAAAUUACUCCAAACACUCACUAUUCAAUAUAUGAUUAUCUUACCAUAAACCCGAAAAAUUUUAAAUCCAAUAUCUUAAACAAUAUUUAGUUAAACAAAGAGCAAAUCAAUACUUUUAAUAUAUUUUGAGCAUAUUUUUACUCUUUGAUUUUCAGAAGACAAAAAAAAAAUUGCUGUCUUCUUCCUCUUCCUCAUCCUUCUUUUAGUCUUCUUUUUCUUCGGCUAUUUCUUCUUCCUCUUUUUUUCCUUUUUUUUCUUUCUUUUUUUUUUUUUUUUGGCUAGAUAGCAAAAAAAUUUUCAAUUGUUUGGUUAAUAAAUUGGGUGCAAAAACUAAUAUUGAAUACAUUCUUUAAUAGACAAAAGCUAAUAAAGAAUAUGUUUAGAAUAUAAUUUGAUUCCUUUGUGUAUAUACUAAGUUGUUAUUAAUUCAUUUUGGAUGCUCAAUAGUUUAAUUGGUGUUUUGAGUAAAUUAGUUUAACUAGUUUAAUUAAGGUCCUUUUUUUUUUAUUUUAAAGAGUGUAGAAAGUAAAAUUUAAUUAUUUUAAAUUCAACACAUUAUUGUACAAAGUAAUAAAGUGUUCAAAGUAAUUUUUGGAGUAUAAAUAACCUAAUCUUUUGAAAAAUGGUGGGACUAUUUGAAUCCACCAUAAUACUCAUUUGACCCAUGUUUUAGAAAACAUUUUUACUACUAAAUUGUCUCUAAUGUAAAUCACUAUUAAAGACAUAAUAGUAUGUAUAUACUUCAUGCUCUCAUCUUUUAAUCAUGUCUAAAUUUGUUCAAUGUGGACAUAAGAGAAAAUUUGUUUCAUACUUUUAAAUUUUUUUAAAAAUUUUCUUCAACUCCUUUGGUCGAAAACAAAUCCAAUCGAGUUGUUGGAUACUUGGAUUUGGUCAAAACUAUCUCACCAGUAAAGCUCAUUGGAAUCCAAUAAACCAAUAAGUUCUAGUCAAGCUAUUCUAGAUUCAAGCAAUAAAAUUUAGGAAAAUUAUCAGUCGUAUACUCUUAAAUGACAUCCGUAUCAAACGUGUGUGAACACUUUUGAAAUGUAUCACUCGUUUACCCUAAGUUGACAAAACACUUCUGCCGUCCGCCAAUCCGUUAACUUCCGUUUGCAAGCGCGAACAUCAUAAGGGCAAUUUAGUCUUUUAAGAUUGACGAAACUUUGAUUUAAAAAAAGGACAUGUCAUCCCAUUUACCUAGUACAAAAUGACAUGUCAUAUGAUAUAUAUUGAUAAAAAUAACAUGUCAUCCCAUUUAUCGGAUAAUUGUAAAUAAUUGCUAAAAAAAACUACUUUACAACCGAAUAUACGCCUUUAAAAUUUAACCUAAUUUUGAAGAUCUACUCCUCCAAGCUCCAACUGGAAAGUUUUAUGGUAUAAUAUGUAUAAUUGUGAAUAAUAUGUUGUUAAUAAUUUUUUAUGGUAUAAUAUGGAUUUUUUUUAUGAAUAAUUGUUAAUAAUAUGUACCAUUAAUAAUUCAUUUUUUUUAAUCAAAAAAAUGUAUUGUUAAUAACAAAAUAAAAAAAAUUGUGUAUUAAAAAUUUACGUUAAUUUUUGGGGUAAAUUUAUCUUUUUACCUUAUAUUUUGAGUUUCAAGGGCAAAAUAGCCAAUUUGUCACAAUUCUGUUAACUUUCUAAUGGAAGUUAACGGAUUGGUGGAUGGCAGAAGUGUUUUGUCAACUUAGGAUAUACGAGUAAUACACUUGAAAAGUGUUCUCAACUUAGGGUAUACGAGUAAUACACUUGAAAAGUGUUCUCAACUUAGGGUAUACGAGUAAUACACUUGAAAAGUGUUCACACACGUUUGAUACGGGUGUCAUUUAAGGGUAUAUGGCUGAUAAUUUCCCUAAAAUUUAUUUCAUUAAAUUUGCACUAUAUAAGAAAGGGAAGAGUUAUGCCAUUGACAAAUAUUGAGCGCUUGAAUUAGUUGUGUAAUCAAUUGAUUAUUCAUUACAACUAUCAUCUUAUUGUCAUUUAAUUUUUUCAUGAUAUUAUAUAUAUUUUAUAGCAGUUUAAUGACAAGCACGGACAAAAAAUAAAUUCCACUUGAGAAGUUGAAGGAUACGACCUUUGGUUAUGAAUGCGUCAAGGGUUGGAGAGCUGGAAGAAGAAGAAGAGAAGAAAAAUGUUGCAGAAAAUCAUGAAUUAAUUUCAAGCAUAUGUUGGUUAUUAACAUGAGUUUAUAAAGUAUAAUAUAAAAUUUUUAACAAUAGAAUUAAUAAGUAGAUGAGUUUACAAAGUAAUUUGGUGGGUUCAAAUAUACUCACUCUUUAAAAUAAUUAGUUUUUACUCUGCACACUCUUUUUUUUUUUUUAUGAGAAAGUAAAGCUUUCAAUUGAUUAAGAAGAAGAGAACAACAUCAACACCUGGACAGGGAAAUCACCUAUCCAGGUGACAGCUUCCUCAAACUCAAGAGCUACAUUAGCUAAGUUAUGGGCAAUUACAUUACACUUUCUUGGGACAAAACGAAUAGCUGCCGAGGCUUGGUUUUUCAACUCUGCUUGUAUUUCUUCAAUGUUCCAACAAAUUUUAGCUCAACUUUCCUUCUUGUUUAAAGUGAGCUCCACAACUUCCUUCAAGUCUGAUUCAACAAUGAAUUGGGCACAAUUUGUUUUCUGACCUACUUGAAUACCGAGCAGCACUGCUUCUGCCUCCAUGUUUGCCACAUUUCCUUUUAAAGCUACUCUCUUAACAGCUGCAGCCACGAUCUCAUAAAAUACUAAAAAAGCUACUCUCUUAAUUCUGCACACUCUUUAAAAUACUAAAAAAGUCCUCAAUAAAACCUUUAAGUAAAUCAAUUAAGAAUUUCAAGUUAAAAUAAAUCUAUACAUGUAAUCACAAUUUAUUAAAAAUGGUAGUAAAACUUUUAUAUUUGAAGUCAAGUACUUAAUUACCAAACUUAAAUAAAUUAAACAAUUAAAAUUUAUUCAUCUUUUUAAAUUUUAAACUAUUAUUAGUCAAAAGUUUCAAAAAUAAAUUAAACUCAACUUAACAUAAAGCUAUUUGGGUGUCAUUGUUUCUUUGUCAUACACUCUACCUUUUUUUUUAAGAACCUACUGUUGAUAGUUUUUCUAUCAAAAACUCCUCAAAAUAUUUAAAUUUUAUCUUCUAACUUGUCCUCUUGGUUAAUGUAACUAAUAACUAAAAUCUCAAAAUUCACAUAAAAGUUUAUGAAAUGUUGAUAGAUAGUUGUUACUAUAUAUCUUUUUUUGUAAGUAUUGGCAUUUUUUCAAUUAAAUUAUUUUUAUAAAUAAAUUAAAACAGUAAUAAUAUUUUAGUCCCCAAAUCUUUUCAAUCUAUUCAAUAAAUAUAUAAUUUAAUUAUUUCAUGAAAUAAGUCACUAAUUCCAACUGGGAAGAAAAUAUAAUUGAAUUAGGAACAUGUUUGAAAAUAAAAUAAAAACUCUAUUAUUUUAUAAAACUGAUUUAAAAAAAACAUAAGGGUAGUUAAAUUAGGGACAUAUAUAAAAAAAAUAAAACUAUAUUAUUAUCUAAAAUUAAUAAAAAAAAUAAGGGGUAUAAAUAACUUUCCUGGACUAAUCCGGGCUACACCCCCGCUUAGGUCCGCUUGCGCACUCAUUACUCCAAAUACAACGUUUAAAAUUUAAAAUCAAAUUUUUACUAUGUAAAAGGGAUAUUAUCAUUUUUCCACCAAAGGUAUUCUGACACAUCAUGUCAGUACCAUGGUUUGAUAAAACUAUCAUUUUACCACCAAACGUUUAAACUGUUAGCAUUUUCCCACCAUUUCGUUAAAACUCAGUUAAUAUUUAACGAAAAAUUAUUAAAAGGUCAAUUUUACCCCUAGAGCGUAAAAGACGAUUUUGCCCUUUAAGAAUGAACAACAAUAAGUGAUGAUUAAAUUACAAAAAUAACCCCAAAAGUAGCUGUUACAUUCAAAUAACGGCUACUUUUAUGCUUAUAAGAGCUGCUGCUGGUUGCCAUUUCAACCCGCAACCAGCAACCCCAAAUCAAAGGCCAGCAAGUAGGGGUGGGCAAAAUCGGGUUCGGAUCAACCCGAUCAGAUUUCGGGUUGAUCGGGUUGGAGAGAAACUCAUCCGAACUCAACCCGAAUUUUAGAUCAGAUCGGAUCGGAUCGGGUUAUAUUCGGGUCGGAUCUAAAAUUCGGAUCAAUUUCGGGUCAAUUCGGGUUAAGGACAAAAAAAGUCAUUUGUGUUAAUUUUGGGUUGUUUAAUAAUUAUUUAAUAAUUACAAGAUCACUUUUAUGCAAUUAGUUCAUUUUAGUCCAUUUCCACUUUCCAAUGACUGUCAUAAAAAAAAUAUAAACUGAAAUAGAAUUGAAAAAGUUGUGAGCUUGGAGGACUUGGUGUCAUGAAUCUCAGUCUCGGUCUCGUUGGAAGAACAACCAUGGAUCACUUCGCGCGGGUCAAGCAGCAGCCGAUGGAUCAAGCGGCAACGGGUUUCGUCGAUGGCUCAUGGCUUCACAGGUUUUGUCGGUGGCUACCGGAAAAGCAGAUCCAAUCGAAGUGAAGUGCAGCAACCGUCGAUGCAGCAGCAAGCAGAUCCUGUCGUCAGUGCAGCAGAUCUGGUCGAGUGGUGUGCUGCAUAUGGCCGUUGCUGUGCUAACCGUCUGUAGUUUUGUUGUUGCGAGAAAGAAGAGAAAGAAGACAGUGAAGAGAAAAAAGAGAGUUGUUUGUGUGAGUUGUGAGAAAGAAGAGAAAGAAGAUAGUGAAGAGAAAGAACACGGAGAGUGAGAAAGAAGAGAAAGAAGAGAGUGAAGAGAAAGAACACAGAGAGUGUUGGUGUGAGUCUGUGAGCCAUAGUGUUCGUAUAUGUUCUGUUUAGCCAUUUAGGUUGUUUGUGUGUGGCGUGUGUGUUUAGAUUUAGGUUUUUUUUUUUAAAGCAACCCGAUCGGGUUUUCGGAUCGGAUCGGAUUUGACCUGAUCCGAUCACAACCCGAUCGGAUUUCCUUUAUAACCCGAUCCGAUCCGAUCCGAACCCGAAAUUUUUCGGGUCGGGUCGGGUAUUUUGCCCACCCCUACCAGCAACCCCAUUUGAGCACCAACAACCCAGCUGAAAAAGAAAGAAAAUGGCAACCCAGCACAACUACAAGCCACAGUAAACAUUUCAAUACCACUGCACCAGCAAGCCCAAGCCAUUUUUAAACACCAGUAAGCUCAUUUUAUUACUAGCAAUCAUGCCAGGUUUGUACAUGCAGGUUUAAAAAGUGUAAUUUUUGGCAAUGGGCAGCAAAAAAAGAUAUGGAAAUGCGUAACAUUACAUCCAAUCAUGGCAUGAACCUAAAUGAAGAUGUGAUGAAGAUAAGUGAACUACUACGAUGCAUUGAAGCGAAACUGAAAUUGGUCGUAGUUUUUAUUUGUGGCAUUGUGAUAGGCUUAUUUAUGAGGAAGUAAUGUAAUAAACAUGAAAAAAUAUUGUAGCAAUCAAUCAUUGUAGCUGAAGAUGUAAUGAAGCAUUAUAGUUUAAGAUGUAAUGCAACUGGAAAGUAAUCAAAACAGUUUGUGGAUUCCAAAAACAUAACAGCAACUUAAUGCACUAAUAUAAAGUUUGUGCAUCCAAAAUACAUAACAACAACUUAAUGCAUUAAUAUAAAGUUUGUGCAUCUAAAAUACAUAACAGUAACUUAAUGCACUAAUAUAAAGUUUUGUGCAUCUAAAAUACAUAACAGCACCUUAAUGGUUAUUUCAUACAGCAUCUAAUAUCUGUGAAGCUUGUGAGCCUUGAGUUGGAUUCGGGGAAACAUUAUCAGCUUCAUAUUGGCCAGGACAAAAAAAUUAUUACCUCAUUAUCUAAGACCAACAGUAGCUAUUUGCAGACAUCAAACAUUAAUUUGAAACAAUAACUUACCAUUGUUACGUCUUCUUACUCCAUCGCCUCUUGCUCUUGCUCUGUUACUCCUUUGGCCCCUUCGGCCUCUAUUCCUUCCUCUUCCUCUAUUACCAGUACCUCAUCUUCCUCUAUGAGCAAUAAAGCUCUCUUGUGAACCACCUACAGCCUAUUUAAAUUGAAAUAUAUAAAUAAUCAAAUCAUCAAUAUUUAUAACAAACUAAAAAUUACUCAAUGAAUAACAAUAAACAAAUUACCACUUUCUUUGUCCUCUUUGAAGUACUUGCUGCAUUAGAACUUUCUCCCGGCCCACUAACUCCCUAUUUAAAAUUACAUAGAUAACAAACAAUAAAAAAUUAAUUUCAAUACACAUAAAAACAAUUAAAACAUUAGGUUAAGUGGCUGUUACCUGCUGAGCUCUUAAUUAUCUUGCUAUCGAUGGCCUUAAUGCACAUUUCCUGACAUUGUGGUUCAUCCCACCACAAAAUGAGCAGCAGAUAUAAAAUGAUUUUUUUUUUUUUAUUGGCUCAGUGGCUGCCCUUUUCCUUGACAUUUUUGGUCUACCAAUCUUCUUGGUAAUCUCAGGUGGAAAGAGCUUGGGCCUAUCACAAGGGUCCCAUGUAACUUUGUUAGGAAUUGGCUUGAACAUCACUGCAUAUGUGUUCAAGUACGCCUCUUUGCCGAAGUAUUUUGGUAGAUACUCUGUUGCUGUGUGUCUAGCAUGACUAAUUGCAGCCAUAACAUGAGUACAGGGGAUUCCAGCUAGGUCCCAAUAACCACAAUCACAAGACCUGCUCAUGAGAUCGACAAUGAACCUCCUUGUUGGAUAAUAACCCUUGUGUUUAACCUAACAAAAAUUACAUAAUGAUUAAAUAAUAAUUAUAAGGUUGAGGAAAAAAAAUUGAUUAACCUAACAAACAUUCAGGUUCAGGAAAAAAUUAAUUAUAAGGAACAUGAGUUAGAAUUAUACUUGAAAGUGAAGAUCCCCAGAAGCCAUUACAUUCAUCUUGCUUCCACAUUCAUAUGCAACAUCCAAUUCUUUUUUCACUCUAGGUGGAAUGUUGGUCUAAGAUUGUGCUUCUUUUUUCCUUUUUGUGAAGAGUGUCAUGAACAUGCAUCUAAUUUCUUCAAGCAUGUUCAAGCAAGGCUUCUCUCUGUGGGGUAAUAUCCAACUAUUAAAACACUCUGAAGUGUUGUUAGUUGUACGAUCUACCUUGCAAUUCUUGUCAUACUCAUGUCUUGACCAAGUAAACCCAGCAAGCUCAGUCUCCAGCCACUGCCAUGCCUCUAACUUCUCUUUUUUGAGGUUUUCCAUUGCAAUAGCGUAAUCAUACUUGUUAGUGCUACUGACAGCCCUCCAAAACAGAUUUCUCAAACUAACACCAGGAUGUUCUUUGUAGAAGUUAGUAUAUAUAUGCCUAGCACAUGGUCUAUGAUAUGCAGUAGGCCAAGUUAUCUCAAUGGCCCCCAACAAACCCUUUUGCCUAUCUUAGCAAAAUGUAAUAUGCUCUAAGCCAUUAUCAAAAUACGAAUGCAGAAUUUCUAAAAACCACGACCAGGUUUCAGUAUUCUCUAUCUCACACACUGCUAAUGCUAAUGGGACCAUUCCAUUAUUAGCAUCCAUACCUGUUGAGUGUUAGAAAAUGCAUAUUUAUAAAGGAGAAAACCGUCAUUUUACAUUUCAAGUCUUAUUAACAACCCUUACUUUUAUGUAUUUAACCUUCUUGUGAUUUAAUUACAUGUCUUUUAUUUUAAUUAAGUAUUUUAUGUAUUUUAGGGGCAUUAUAGUCAUUUCACAAUAAAGGAGAGAUCAGAUGGCAAAACGGACAUCACUUUUGAACUCAGGACGGUCGAAAACCUUAGGAGGAGCAUAAAAGGAAAAAUGACACUAUUCACAUGUACGGUACUAUUCACGUAUACGGUACUGUCUACGUUACUGUUCACGAAACUGUUCACAUAGACGGAUCGAUGACGUGGCAUUGACCGAUGAUGUGGCAUUGACUGAUGAGGUGUCACGAUCCUGUUGGACUAAACUUCUUAUGUACUGUUGAUGGUGACGUGGCAGCAUAUCAGUGGAUGAAAAAUCUCGCGUACGGUGCAUGCAUCACACAGGAUUAUUUUCAACCAAACCGCGUUACUGUUCAUCCGGGUCAAACCGUGUUACUGUUCAUCCGCGUGGUCAAACCGUGGACUGUUGACUGAUGACGUGGCGCAAUCCUGAGCGUCCAAACUAUUUUUAAUCCGAUGGCCAUGAUUUACUCCAUGUAUCUAUAAAAAGGGGGCCUCCCCCCCCUAAUUUGAUAUCUCUGAAUCCAUUUUUGGGAUCCAUUUUCUGUAAUUCCCUCUCCAUCUUGUAUUUUCUUUGUAUUUUAAUAAAUUCCCAUUUUGCCCCUAGUUCAAUUAUGAGUGGCUAAUUUUCUUUCAAGCUUGGGUUGAAGGUGAAGUCUCAACAUGUGUCAUGGGCUUUAUUUGGUAAAUUUAUUUUCUUUUCCCCUCUAGUUUUUGUGGAUGAUUUGACUUAUCGUCGACAAAUAAUACUGAUCUUGUCUAGAUACCGCCUUGGUUACACCGGCUCUCUAGUAUAAGGUUAUUAUUAUUUGGCACGAUAAGCCCUUAGCACCAUAUUGAUUAGAGCGUGGUUCAUGAGGUGUGGAUCCCCCCCUCAUGAUUUAAUUGGCAUUAAUACGGAUUAUUUAGCCCAUGAUGCAUGUUGAUACGGAUCCAGAUACCCAAGUACGUCAUUUCAAUAGAUUUCGCUUCAACUUAUUCUCGCCAUUGCAAUUCCAAUUUUAGAAUUUAUUAUCGCAAUUUCAAUUCCAAUUUUAGGAUAAUUUAAAUCACUUCCACCACAAUUCCAACCACCCAUUUUGCAAAAUUAAUUCUAUACACAAUUAAAAUCCUCCUCCUCGUGGGAUCGACACUCGUCACCAUUGAUCUACACUACAAUAGAUUCAUGCGCUUGCGAGUACAUUAAAAUUUGCACAACAAGUUUUUGGCGCCGUUGCCCGGGGAGGUAAGUAAUUUUAAUUCAUAGAAUUAAUUUUUGUGAAUAAUUUCUUUUAAAUUGUUUUCUUGUAUUUUUUUUAUUAAAAAAAAAAAGGUGAAUCUGCAUUUAAAGGUUAGUAUUUCUUUUCUUUUUCUCUUCUUUAAAAUUCUGUAAUUUAAUUUUCAAUUUAUUUUUUUCUUUGUAAUUUUUAUUUAUUUUAUUAAUUUAAUUUUUAGUUAAUUUAUUUCACGUAUUUGUUUUUGUGUAUUUUUAUAAAAAGGUUGUAAUAGCGCAAUAAGGUUAGUAUCGUAAUUUCUCCCUCUUCUUUAUUUUUAUUUGUUUUGUUCCCAUCUUUAUUUUUAUUUUAUUUGUUUUGCAUGCAUGGUCGUAGGUCAUUAUUACCUAAUCUUGAACCUAUAGACCUUGAAUUAGAAAAAACACUUCGCACACAAAAGCACAUUAAAAAUAAAUUUGGAAUGGAUUUACAAGCACCACAGGAGAGGCCAUUUAAGGACUAUUUUAGUCCCUUAGCUAAUUUGAGCACAUCAUGCAUAAGAUACCCAAAUGUAGCUGCUAGGAGUUUUGAAUUAAAACCUAGUGUGCUAAAUUGUCUCCCCACAUUCUAUGGCUUAGAAAAUGAGGACCCAUAUAAUCAUCUGAAUGAUUUUCAUACCAUUUGUCAAACUUUUAAAUAUGAAAAUUUUUCAGACGAUGAUGUUAAACUCAGAUUAUUCCCAUUUUCUUUAAAGGAUAGAGCUCGUUCAUGGCUUAAUACAUUGCCUGCUAAUAGCAUUGCAUCAUGGGAACAAAUGGUUACAAAAUUUCUAAAUAAAUAUUUCUCAGUGCAUAAAACUAAUUCUAUUCGCAGGGAAAUUUCAGAGUUUACACAAAGAGAGGACGAGCAGUUUUUCGAAACUUGGGAGCGAUUCAAUGGGCUACUCUUGAAGUGUCCACAUCAUGGGUACGAAAAAUGGCAUCAAUGCCAAUACUUUUUGGAGGGAUUAUUGCCGAAUGUGCAAGAAUGGCUAAUGGCAACAAGUAGAGGAGAGCUAAUGUCAAAAAGCGCAACAGAGAUUUGGGAAUUCUUCCAGCGACAAGCGGAUAAUUCCCAACAACGGAGUCGAUCAUUCAGGAAUACUAGAAAAAUUAAAGGAGUAAAUGAGGUUCACAUUGGCGAGUCAACUUCGGAAAUCAAAGAAGUCAAGGAGAUGGUUGAAGGUCUUGCUCGACAAAUAGCAUCGUUAUCGACUGCUAAAUCAACAGAAUCACAUGACCAUGACUCAUAUUCAGAUCAAGCCAAUGCCAUAGGUGUAAUGAGAAAACCAUCGAAUUACAACCCAUACUCCAACACAUAUAAUCCUGGAUGGAGAGAUCACCCCAAUUUUUCAUGGUCUCAAGGAUUCCAACAGAAUGGACCAACAGCUCCAGCUCCACUACUGCAACCAAUUCCUCAAAAUCCUCAAGCCUCUCAGCCACCAUUCAGACCAUACAAUCAGAACCAGAACUACUCUCAACCCAGACCAUGGGAGGAUGCAUUCCAGAAUUUCAAGAAUGUUACUCAUUCUACCAUUGAGCAACAGAACCGCACCAUUGAUGGACUACGAAAUGAAUUGAGAGCGGGCUUUAACUCACAAGCCCAAUCAGUUUCAAGCCUCGAGAAGAUGGUGGGACAACUCGCUUCUUCAGUUCAGACAUUGGCAAUGACUAUUGAGAAAGGCAAGUUUCCAAGUCAACCAGUGCCUAAUCCUAAAGGAGUACAUGAAGCAAGUACCAGUUCACCACAGCAGCAUGGGGAGGUCAAAGCAGUCAUGACCUUGCGAAAAGGAAAAGAAGUCGACAACAAAGUGGAGAUGCCGGUGACCAAAGAAAAUCAAAUUGUACCUGUGAAUGUUGAAGACUCACCACCGGAGGAAAAAGAAGAAACCAACCCACGAGAAUAUGUUCCUAAAGCUCCAUUUCCUCAGAGGUUAGCGAAAGGAAAGAAGGGAAAAUCCACAGGUGAGAUUCUCGAAAUCUUCAAACAGGUAAGUGUUAACAUCCCUUUACUUGAUGCUAUUAAACAAGUUCCAUCUUAUGCCAAGUUUCUUAAAGACCUUUGUACUAAAAAGAGAAACAUGCAUGUUCAAAAGAAGGCAUUUUUAACAGAAAACGUUAGUUCUAUACUCCAACAUAAAAUUCCUUUAAAAUGCAAAGACCCAGGCUCCCCCACUAUCUCAUGUAGUAUAGGGAACCACACAAUUGAGAAUGCUUUGUUGGAUUUAGGAGCUAGUGUAAAUUUGUUGCCUUAUUCAGUAUUUGUGAAACUUGGACUGGGAGAAUUACACCCAACUCCAGUGGUGUUACAGCUUGCAGAUCGGUCCACGAAAAUACCUCGUGGUAUUGUGGAGGACGUGCUUAUCCAGGUAGACAAGUUUUAUUUUCCUGUUGAUUUCAUUGUAAUUGACACUCAACCAAUACAGGACUCAAGGAAGCACAUCCCCAUUAUUCUAGGCCUACCUUUCUUGGCAACUGCGGAUGCUCACAUUCAAUGCAGGACUGGAAAUAUGCAGUUGUCCUUUGGCAACAUGACUAUGGAGCUAAACAUUUUCAACAUUGCCAAACAACCUCAUAGUCCAGAUGAUGGAAUUGUUGAUGUGGAUUUAAUAGAAACAAUAGUCGAUAAUACUUUUAUUUCAAACCUUAGUGAUGACCCUUUACAGACAUGCUUAACUCACUUUGGUUUGAAUUUUGAUAUUGACAGAUCGGUCGAUGAGGUCAACACUCUACUUGACUCAGCACCAUCCAUGGACACUAAUAAAUGGAAGUCAAGAGUUGAACAACUAGCACCAUCAGAGAAGAAAAUCAUCCCAUCAUCAGAAUCACCACCGAAACUCGAGCUCAAACCAUUACCCAACACAUUGGAAUAUGCGUUUUUGGGAGAAGAAAGCACUCUACCGGUAAUCAUCUCAUCAUCCCUAAACGACGAACAAAAAGGUAAGUUAUUGGAUGUUUUAAAAGAGCACAAAGGAGCAUUAGGAUGGACCAUAGCAGAUAUUAAAGGUAUAAACCCAGUAGACUGCAUGCAUUACAUUCACCUUGAUGAAAAUGCUAAAACUACUAGGGAAAUGCAACGUCGGUUAAAUCCUAAUAUGAAAGAAGUUGUUAGAACAGAAGUCCUUAAGCUAUUAGAUGCAGGUAUCAUUUACCCAAUUUCUGAUAGUUCAUGGGUCAGUCCUGUACAAGUUGUCCCCAAAAAGUCAGGAGUCACAGUAGUUACCAAUGCUGAUAAUGAAUUGAUACCAACUAGAGUAACUACAGGAUGGCGUGUAUGCAUUGAUUAUAGAAAAUUGAAUUAUGUCACACGUAAAGACCAUUUUCCUUUACCAUUUAUUGAUCAAAUGCUUGAUAGAUUAGCAGGCCAUGAAUUUUAUUGCUUUCUGGAUGGUUAUUCAGGAUAUAAUCAGAUUCCCAUAGCACCAAAAGAUCAGGAGAAAACUACUUUCACUUGCCCUUUUGGCACUUUUGCAUAUAGGAGAAUGCCAUUUGGAUUAUGUAAUGCACCUGCUACAUUCCAACGAUGCAUGUUGAGCAUUUUUUCUGAUAUGGUUGAACGAUUCCUUGAAGUCUUUAUGGAUGAUUUUUCUGUCUUUGGUGACUCGUUUGAUCAAUGUUUACAUCAUCUAACGCUAGUUCUGCAGAGAUGUAUCGAGAAGAACUUAGUCUUAAAAUGGGAGAAGUGUCAUUUUAUGGUAAAACAAGGUAUUGUUCUCAGUCACAUCAUUUCAAGCAAAGGUAUUGAGGUUGACAAAGCCAAGGUGGAUCUCAUUUCUAAUCUUCCUCCACCUAAAACAGUCAGAGAAGUAAGAUCUUUCCUUGGGCAUGCUGGUUUCUAUAGACGUUUCAUUAAAGAUUUUAGCAAAGUUUCUAGACCCUUAUGCAAUUUACUUGCUAAGGAUGUACCUUUUAUCUUUAAUGAUUCAUGUCUUAUGGCUUUUGAAAAAUUAAAGCGAUUGUUGACAUCAUCACCCAUCAUUCAGGCCCCAAACUGGAGUUUACCAUUUAAGCUCAUGUGUGAUGCAUCUGAUUAUGCAGUAGGAGCAGUAUUAGGACAAAGAGUUGAUCGAAUUCCCCAUGUUAUUUACUAUGCUAGUAUGACAUUGAAUAAUGCACAGUUGAACUAUUCAACUACUGAAAAAGAAAUGCUAGCAGUAGUGUUUGCAUUAGAGAAAUUUCGAUCUUAUCUCAUUGGUUGUAAAAUAAUUAUAUUCACAGAUCAUGCUGCUCUUAAAUAUCUUCUCAUAAAGAAAGAUGCAAAAGCUAGACUAAUUCGUUGGGUGUUACUUUUGCAGGAAUUCGACUUGGAAUUCAAGGAUAAGAAAGGCACAGAGAAUGUUGUAGCGGACCACCUCUCUCGUCUCCAUUUUGACACAAUUACAGAAUCAUUACCAUUGAAUUAGUCAUUUCCAGAUGAACAAUUAAUGAAUGUGGAAGUAUUACCUUGGUAUGCUGAUAUAGUUAAUUAUCUUGUUACAGGUAAACUUCCAGAGCAUUGGACCAAGCAAGACAAGGCUAAAUUCUUUGCGGAAAUAAAGAAUUUCUUUUGGGAUGACCCGUAUUUGUUCAAGUAUUGUGCAGACCAAAUUGUUAGACGAUGUGUCCCUGAAAAUGAAAUUCAGAAUAUUCUUUCAUUCUGCCAUGCACAAGCUUGUGGAGGCCAUUUCAGUGCUAAGAAAACAGCGACUAAAGUUUUACAAUGUGGUUUCUAUUGGCCAACUAUAUUUCGAGAUGCUUACACUUUCUGUUCUUCAUGUGAUAGGUGUCAACGAAUGGGGAGCAUUACACGAAGGAACAUGAUGCCACUAAAUCCAAUUUUAGUGGUUGAGAUUUUUGACGUAUGGGGUAUCGACUUCAUGGGACCCUUUCCUCCGUCUUUUGGUCAUCAAUACAUAUUGGUUGCUGUUGACUACGUAUCGAAAUGGGUGGAAGCAAUUCCAUGCAGAACCAAUGAUCACAAAGUGGUGAUAGGAUUUUUGAAAAGCAACAUUGUUUCACGCUUUGGAUUCCCUCGAGCGAUAAUCAGUGAUGGUGGUGCCCACUUUUGUAACAAAGCAUUCAAAGCUCUUUUGACAAAGUAUUCAAUCACCCACAAAGUGGCGACUCCGUAUCAUCCGCAAACCAGUGGCCAAGUUGAGAUCUCCAAUCGAGAAAUAAAGCACAUAUUAGAAAAGACGGUGAGGCCAGACAGGAAAGAUUGGUCAUUACGACUUGAUGAUGCAUUAUGGGCAUAUAGAACGGCUUUCAAGACCCCGAUUGGGAUGUCACCCUACAGGCUAGUGUAUGGAAAAGCUUGCCACCUACCUGUGGAACUCGAGCAUCGUGCAUAUUGGGCCAUCAAGAAAUUCAACUUUGACAUGCAGCAAGUCAGCUCAGAAAGAAGAUUACAGCUGGCAGAACUUGAAGAAAUUCGCAAUGAUGCAUACGAAAAUGCCAAGAUUUACAAGCAACGAAUGAAAGUCUUCCAUGAUAAGCAAAUUAUGAGAAAAUCGUUCACUCCAGGUCAGAAAGUGUUUUUAUUCAAUUCUCGCUUGCACCUAUUCCCAGGUAAGUUACGCUCUCGAUGGUCUGGUCCCUUUAUUGUUCAUACUGUUUUUCCACAUGGGGCAAUUGAAAUUAAAGACCCAAAGAACGGUGUCACGUUUAAAGUUAAUGGUCAAAGAUUAAAGCCAUAUCUAGAGUACCAACCACAUGAAGAAGACACCGAAAUAAAUUUGAGUGACCCACCAGAUUUGAAUUAAUUUUUUUUCUCUUUUUAUUGAUUUGAUUUUUCUUUCUUUCUUUUUAUUAUUCUUUUGCUAAUUGAAAUUGUUUUUGCAUAAGUGUGUUUAUUUUACCAUUAAGUUUUCUCUUAUCAUUUUUAAUCAUGAGUCUCCUACUUAGACCGUUCCUCCUGAACAUUCUUAAACCACUUCAACGUGUCAAAACUCAUCUCAAAAGGCAGAUUCUAUUUUGUAAAACACAACGCAUUUGGGCUCUACAACCACCAGAGUUAGUAGCCUAUGUUGAGGGUUUAGAACGCCAACUCAGAGAUAUUGAGAGAAGUGUUUACGACAUCCAGUUGGAGCUUGAGGUAAAUUCAAUAAGAGGACGAUUUUAAUUUUCUUUGUGUGUUUUGAUUUGUUUUUCUGUUUGUGUGCUUUAGUUUGUUACCCCGGUGAAGUGGCGGAUAACGGUACUCCGUGACAAUCAAGUCGGUUAACUUCAGUUUCCCAUAAUAACUGAUAUUCUGAGGCGAAGGUAUGGAUACAAACGAGAUUUUAGCAAAGCUUCACAAGCGAUUCCCUUCACUUCCUCAGAAUGCCCUCCUUACGAUCUAUAAAGCCCGGUCUGAACGCAUGCGAUUGCUCAUGAGGAAUAACAUACCUGCAGACAUCCGUUGGUUAAUCGAGGCUAAAGUACGAUCGGCAGGUGAGUUACCUCCAAAAUUUAUUGCAUUCAUGCCUGGUUGUGGUAAAGGAAAUUAUGCAAGAAAACGACGAGCUCGAAGAAUUUCUGUUGCUUGUCAUAAGUGUGCCAGAAUGAGUUGCGAUAAAAACCCAUGUUCUUUAGGAAUGGUGUCUGAUAACAGGGAAGAUAAGAUUCAAUUCAUUAGGGAUGGCUUGAAUAAGGAGUCAUUGGAUGAUAUCCUUUUGUCUCUUGAAACGCAUCCUAGUGGAUAUGUGCAAGGAGCGAUUCUCCAGUUAUGGCCAUUAUUCCAGAAAGAGCAUGCACGAUAUAGUCUCGGGAAUCUGACUAUAAACGACCCUGUUUGCCAGUUUAUAAGAAAACUGGAUAGGAAGCCUAUCCUCGACCCAUAGAGGGCGUUCAAGCCGUUUCUGGACGUAAAACCAGAGGAAGAUGUGAGCCACAGUCGCAACUACCUGUAAAUAUCCUUUUACUUUACUGUUGUUUUAUUUUACUGUUGUUUUAUCGUUUGUAUUAUUAUCUUUAAUAAUUUUAUUACUGUUUGCUUUUUCCUUUUUACUGUUUCCUUUUUGACUCGCGAGCCACGUGCUUUACGCGUUAUUUGACACUGACAUGUUACCUCAUUCACAGCUGUGAUCCACUGUCACCAAGAUUCUUAAAUGUGAUUUAUCUUUUGUCAAGCACUCACAAAUUAUUUUUGAGAAGUAUCACAAUGGCAGCUACUCCCAAUAGACAAUUCAAGAACAUUUGUGUGCUUUCUGGAUUUACCUAUGGCAAACAUAAAGAGUUCGUGGAGGCAGCCAUAGAUCUUGGUCGAAGCAUAGCAGCGAGAAAAUUACAUUUGGUGUAUGGAGGAGGUAACCGAGGGUUAUCAAAAAUGGUCUCAGAAGCAGCUUUUAUCAGAGGAAGUCAAGUGUUAGGCAUCAUCCCAAGAGUCCUAAAACCAUUGGGCAGUUCAUCUAACUCAUCAACUGGAGAAGAGUUAGUCGUCUCAGGUAUGCAAGAAAGAAUAACUGAAAUGCUUAAUCAUGUUGAUGCUUUUAUUUUCCUUCUAGGAGAUCUUGCAACACUAGAGGCACUUAUGACACUAGCAUCUUGGGCCCAUCUGCACAUCCACCAGAAACCCAUCGGUUUGUUAAAUGUCAAUAACUUUUAUGAUGGCUUUAUCGCAUUUCUUAACCAUGCAAUAAAAAACUAUUUCAUUCCUUCUAAUGUGAAAAAACUCUUUAUUUGUGCUCACACUGCUAAUGAGCUACUUGAUAUGUUACAAGCUUAUAAACCGGAGCCAGACCCCUGGACCUUUGUGUUGGAGCGACCAAAUAAUGAUGGUAACAGUAGCCGCAGUAAGAAGUACAAAUUAGAUUUAACUCUCCGCCUGUAAAUAUUUUCUUCUGUGUUGCACCACCCAGGUGAUGUCUUCUAAACUCUACUUCUUUCCUUUAAAACAUUGAGGACAAUGUUUCGUUCUGGUUGGGGGGAGGGAAUAGUCGACAAUUGUGGAAUCUUGGUUAAGUUUUUACUAAUUUUUUGUUGUAGAAACUAACUGUUGCUAACGUUUUGUGUUGAAGAUGGCUGAAUAUGGAGUGUAGUUACUCUAGAAACGCAUCUUCAUCGUUUUAAAAAAAAAAAAAAAAACUCGUUUGCUUCCUCUUUCUCCUUUAUAAAUAUGUAGUUUCAAAUUUUUGAGUCGAAGAUGGCUGAAUAUGGAGUGUAGUGCCUCUAGAAACGCAUCUUCUUAGUUAAAAAAAAAAAAAUCUUUUUCUAAUUAAUUUUUCUACAUCAUUUUCACAUUUCUGCAUGCAUAUUUUCCUUUCAUGUUUAGAAUAGGUUGGGGGGUAGAAUGUUGUUUAAAAAAAAAAAAAAUUUGUGUUAUUUGUUUUAACAUUGGAUGACAUGAUUAAUUUCAAAUUUUAGUAUUUGUAUUAUCUUUGGUCUUAAGUGAUGUUACGCUAUGUUUGCUACUUUACAUGUUGAUGUCGGAGACAAAUAUGAGUUGCUUGAAGGAAUGAACAUGUCAUAAAUAAGUGCCAAGUGAGUUGUUGAGCCUAUCAUUUUCUUGGAGAGUAACCCUUUUGCCCAUUCUCUAUACAGCUUAGCAGUUUAUUAUUUUAUACACGAUCUCUAGAUUUCUUUUGAGUUAACCCUUUAAAAAAAAUGGUAAAAAUAAAAAAAAUAAAAAAUGUGUGUUGCUAUAUUGGGAUGCCCAUUUAACUAGUAGAUAUGGAUAAUUAUUUAGAGCCCUAAAAAACGAUGGAAAGGCCAUCUUUGAUCCGUUUGAGCCUUUCUAGCCAUCCCUGUUAUUAAAUAUCCAUAGUUACCCCUUUUGAGCCUUUAAAAAAAAAAAAAAAUCUUUUCUUUGUCAACUUAUCAUCUUGACCCACUCCGAUUUGGAGUAUUACUCAAUGUCUUUUAAGUUCCAUCACCUAUUUAUGUUUGAGAAAAUGUAAAUAAUUAUGUUGUUCAGUGAAGUUAUGCCAAAAAAAUAAAAAAUAAAAACAAAAAAUAAAAACAAAAACAAAAGUUGUUGUUUCAAAAGAAUAAAAAUAACAAUAAUAGGUGAAAUCCACCUUGCAAGUUCCAAAAAAAAAAAAAAAAAUCUGCAUUUUUCUCAAACAUACACUUUGUUUUCCUUAUUUCCCUUCUUUGUUAGCCAUAUCCCUAGCCUACGUUACGUCCUAAUAAAAGUCCUUCUUGAUUUUAGGAAACUAUAGUUUGAAGUAGAAGCUAGUUAUAUGGGCUAAAAAGAUGUAGUGAUGCAUAAUAAAAAAAAAAGAUAAAUAAAGUGGGUUGACUAACAUUUUAUUUGACUUGAGAUCGUAUUAUUUCUAAGCUGAGGGCAUAUUUAUUUCAUCUUGGUGAGAGCAUGUGAUAUCAUUUCUUUAUUAUUUUCUCUCUCAAUUACCAUUCAUUGGAGUGACUAUGUUUAUUGGGUUUUAAUUUCUUUGUGAGAGUGUCACUACUUCCAGUGAGAUUUUGGGGUUUGACAUGUCAUUCUUGAAAGUAGCUAUAACAAAGUCUACUGGGCUAAUUCAUGUGGAUGGUUGAUGUGGGUGUGAUGUUGCUUUAGACUGAAGAUAAUGCUUAUACUUUUAUUUGAUUGCUAUCAUUAAUCUGAUUGAAUAAACACGAGUGUUCCCAUAAAAAAAAAAAAAAAAUCAUUUUGAAUUUGAAUUUUGUUUUCGCUUUAUUUGCUAGGGACUAGCAAUAAGCUGGUUGGGGGGUGUGUUGAGUGUUAGAAAAUGCAUAUUUAUAAAGGAGAAAACCGUCAUUUUACAUUUCAAGUCUUAUUAACAACCCUUACUUUUAUGUAUUUAACCUUCUUGUGAUUUAAUUACAUGUCUUUUAUUUUAAUUAAGUAUUUUAUGUAUUUUAGGGGCAUUAUAGUCAUUUCACAAUAAAGGAGAGAUCAGAUGGCAAAACGGACAUCACUUUUGAACUCAGGACGGUCGAAAACCUUAGGAGGAGCAUAAAAGGAAAAAUGGCACUAUUCACAUGUACGGUACUAUUCACGUAUACGGUACUGUCUACGUUACUGUUCACGAAACUGUUCACAUAGACGGAUCGAUGACGUGGCAUUGACCGAUGAUGUGGCAUUAACUGAUGAGGUGUCACGAUCCUGUUGGACUAAACUUCUUAUGUACUGUUGAUGGUGACGUGGCAGCAUAUCAGUGGAUGAAAAAUCUCGCGUACGGUGCAUGCAUCACACAGGAUUAUUUUCAACCAAACCGCGUUACUGUUCAUCCGGGUCAAACCGUGUUACUGUUCAUCCGCGUGGUCAAACCGUGGACUGUUGACUGAUGACGUGGCGCAAUCCUGAGCGUCCAAACUAUUUUUAAUCCGAUGGCCAUGAUUUACUCCAUGUAUCUAUAAAAAGGGGGCCUCCCCCCCCCUAAUUUGAUAUCUCUGAAUCCAUUUUUGGGAUCCAUUUUCUGUAAUUCCCUCUCCAUCUUGUAUUUUCUUUGUAUUUUAAUAAAUUCCCAUUUUGCCCCUAGUUCAAUUAUGAGUGGCUAAUUUUCUUUCAAGCUUGGGUUGAAGGUGAAGUCUCAACAUGUGUCAUGGGCUUUAUUUGGUAAAUUUAUUUUCUUUUCCCCUCUAGUUUUUGUGGAUGAUUUGACUUAUCGUCGACAAAUAAUACUGAUCUUGUCUAGAUACCGCCUUGGUUACACCGGCUCUCUAGUAUAAGGUUAUUAUUAUUUGGCACGAUAAGCCCUUAGCACCAUAUUGAUUAGAGCGUGGUUCAUGAGGUGUGGAUCCCCCCCUCAUGAUUUAAUUGGCAUUAAUACGGAUUAUUUAGCCCAUGAUGCAUGUUGAUACGGAUCCAGAUACCCAAGUACGUCAUUUCAAUAGAUUUCGCUUCAACUUAUUCUCGCCAUUGCAAUUCCAAUUUUAGAAUUUAUUAUCGCAAUUUCAAUUCCAAUUUUAGGAUAAUUUAAAUCACUUCCACCACAAUUCCAACCACCCAUUUUGCAAAAUUAAUUCUAUACACAAUUAAAAUCCUCCUCCUCGUGGGAUCGACACUCGUCACCAUUGAUCUACACUACAAUAGAUUCGUGCGCUUGCGAGUACAUUAAAAUUUGCACAACAAUACCCACAGCGGCUAAUAGAACUCCACCAUAUUUUGAUUUCAAGUGACACCCAUCCAACCCGAUAUAUGGCCUACAGCCAUUGUUAAGGGCAUUUUUUUAAGCUGGAAAUGCCAUAAAGAAUCUUUGAAAGAGCACUUUCUCAGGCCUAGUUACAGCAUCACAAAGCACUUUACAAAUUGCACCAGGAUCAUACUUGUGAAUCACUGCAGCAUAUUGAAACAAAUCUUCGUAUCCCCUCGCAUGAUCUCCAUUAAUGUCUUUUCUUGCCCUCUCUCUAGCCCUAUAUAGUUUUAAAUCCCCUAUCCGCACACCAUAAGUCUCCAGCAUAAACUCACGAAGAACAGAAAUCUUCACAUGCGCAUCUACAGCAACUUUGCUCUUAAUUUUCUCUGCUAUCCAUUUAUUGUUCACAGCCACUGACUUUCCAGUCUGUCUACAUUCAUGCUUCUUUUGCAACUCUUCGAUUGCAAAUCCACCCUUGCCCCUUAUUUUACCUCCCAUCACAUACCAUGGACACUCAUUAAUCUUGCAUUUUCUGUAAAAUCUCCUAGGCUCAUUGUACACCUUUGUAAUUUCAAUGCCUUUAUCCACCAUCACUUCACCUAACACAUAUCUAAACUGUUCAACAUCAUCAAAUACAUCUCCUAACCUCAGCCUAUGUUUACCAUUACGCCUUGGCUUAUAUGCAUGCACUUCAAUAUCAUCCUUCAGCUGAGUGGUACCCAAAUCAUAAUAUGAAUCUGAUGUGUCUGCUAACAGCUGAGGAUCUACUUCAGCUGUUUCAUCGUCAGAACUAGAACCCCUAGCAUCAUCCAUAAUAUCUGCACCAUUAUCUUCAUUUUGGUCAUCGUCAUCAGCAUCAUCAUCAUCAGUGUCAUCUAUACGACUCCCAUCAGUUGAAUAUACUACAUCAUCAUCAUCAUUCUCAUGCCCAUCAUUCUCAUUCAGUUCUGUUGGUGGCCCUUGUAUGCCUCCAGUCCUAGGUGGUGGUUCAUUUCCACCAUCAUUCACCCAUGUAAUUUGCUCUGCAGAUAACUGCACUCCACAGUUAUGUAGCAUCGCUUGUAACACCCCACAAAGUGGUAAAUCAGGACGUAGGGUUGGCAAAAUUGUGGCUUCAAACACUGCCACUUCCAUUUAAUCAUGUACAGCGAACUGAGCCUGCAACACUGCCUCAGAAUCUACAGUAAUCGAAAGCUUGUCCCUUGGGUUGGUAACCGAUAACUGCACACUUUCAGGAGUUUCUUCAUCUGCUGCAGGGUAUAUUCUUCAGGUUCAAUCAACCCUAUAGGAUGUCUUUCACCUUUGUAAAGUAAAUGUAGUUGUAAUGGUAACAUCAUCUACCAGAUUAAAAACGAGGAAACAUUUUGAAUAACUAAAAUUACAGCAUAACUCAAAGCAAUUUAAUUAGGUAAAAAGUAAUGAAAAAUAACUAAAAUUAUGGCCAAUAACCAAAAUUUCAGCAAAACGGCAAAUGCAUGUAAGCUUAAUGGUUACAAAUAAAAAAUUAAUUAACAGUAAGCAAAAAUUAAUUAACAAUAGGCAACUAAUAAUCCUAAUCUAUUAAAUUCAAGUGCCAAUCACAACUCAAAGCAAUUUAAUUAGGUAAAAAGUAACGAACAAUAAUCAAAAUUAUGCCCAAUAACCAAAAUUACAGCAAAACGGCAAAUGCAUGUAAGCUUGAUGAUUACAAAUAAAAUGGCAAAAAUUCAUUAACAAUAACCAAGCAGUAAUCCUACUUACAAUGGACAAAGUAGAAGACAGUAGAGAUGGAAGAACACUGCUGCGAGAGUGAGAGAGAUAUGCGUCAGUUACAAUGAGCGAGAGAGAGCAGAGAUGGAAGAAGAAUCGAGAGAGAGGGGGAUUGAUUUCGAUUUCUAGGGCUCCAUGUCCAAAUUGCCCGCUUUCUUUACAAUUGCAAAACGCAACGUUUUCGCCUCACGUGAUAUGUCCAAAAUACCCUUAUGACGUCAGCAUAAUUUUUAUUCAGUUAACGGAAUUGUGGGAAAAUGCUAACAGUUUAAACAUUUAGUGGUAAAAUGAUAGUUUUACCAAACCAUGGUACUGACAUGAUGUGUCAGAAUACCUUUAGUGGGAAAAUGAUAAUAUCCCUAUGUAAAAUAUAUAAAUCUAAAAAAUAGUCUUGAAUUUUUUUUUUUUUUGGGCUCCUGUUUUAUUAUUCUUUUUCUAAAGUAAUUUUCUCUCUUCUUAUUAAAGGCUUGAGAUAAAUUAUAUAUCCCUUUUUCUUUUAUUGAAUCAUAAUUCUUCGUUUCUUCUAUUGAAUCAUAGUUCUUGUGAUUUUGAUUUUUAGUAUGUAUUGCCUACAAUUUAUCAUUGAGGUAUCAGUUACAUAAAUAUAAUUUUCCAUUAAUCUUAUUUCGAAGAUGUUAAUGAAAUAUAUUUGGUGAAAACGAUAUUAGAGUGAGGAUACGUGCACCCAUGACAAAAAUUUGCAAAGAACUCUUCAAUCUUUCAAAUUUUCCAAUUGAUAAAGAAUUGAUUUAAAAAGAAGAAGAAGAUGAUGAUGGUGAUUUAAGAUUUUAUAAUACAUGGGUGUGUCAAGGAUAUUUGUUUCAAGUUAAAAUUAUUCAAUCCUUAAUACUAAUUUCAUAAAAGGACGUUUUUAUAAUCUAAAAUUUUAUUAAAUAAAGAGGAUUAAAAAUAACUUUUAGAAUAUAUAAAUAAAUAGCCUCUCUCGAUUAUAAAGUACAAGGUCACUCGAUGAUGUCAUGAAUUUAUGUAAUCAAAUAUGAAUUAUGUAAAUGAAACAUAAGACUUAUAAAUUUAAUAUAAAACAUGUAAAUCAAUAUUAACUGUGAACUAACAUAUAAAUUAUGUAAAUAAAAUAUUAGACUUGUAAGUAGAAGGUAAAACAAACAAAUUAAUAUAGGAGUGAUAAAUUGGUAUAUUAUUGGUAAAUAAAAGAAAAACUUACAAAUGUAAUAUAUAAUUUAUAAAUCAAUAUUAAGUGUGAAAUAAAAUAUAAAUUGCGUAAAUGAAACAUAAGACAUGUAAAUAAAAGAUAAAAUAAGUAAAUUAAUAUAAGAUAUAAUAUAAAACUAUUAGUAGUAAACAAAAUAAAAAUUUAAAGAUAUAAUAUAAAACUAUAAAUCAAUAUUAAGUACAAAAUAAAACAUAAGUUUAGGUGUAAUUUACAAAAUUAAUAUAAGAUUUAUUAAAAAAAACUUACAAAUGUAAAAUAAAAAUUCAUUAUAAUAUUGAUUACCUUAUAUAUUUAUUGAUUCUAUUUUAAAUUGAAUAAUGAUAGUUUUUAUCUUAUGUAAUAAAUGUGAUGUUUUAUAUAAAUUUAUUCUCAAAAUUAGAUUUUGAAAUCUAUUCUUUUAAUGUUUUUCGAAUUUAUUGUAAGAUGACAUGAUUUUUCAUCCUUCUAAAUCUCCUCAUCAGCAAUGCAAAUAGUUUCUAAAUACAAGUAAGGGGUGACGGUUAAAAUUACAAGAAGUUUAUGUAAAACUCAAAACUAGAUUUAAUUUUAUUAAUAUGUCAUCUAUGUGUUUAGUAAUAUAAGAAUAUAUUUUUAUUUUAUUUUUUGUUUAAUCCACAUUAAGAUAAAUUAUUUCGCAUAGUUAACUUGUGUAGUAAAACAAAAAAAAAAAAUGACAGAAAAUGAAAAAAAAUAAGUUUAUAAAUAUCUUAAGACAAAUAUAGAAUUUAUUCUUAAACCAAUUUAGUAAAACUUAUUCUACUUGUUUUCAGUAUAAUUUUUUUGGUCUUAGAUUGAUGACUAUUUUUUUUUCAUUGUUUAGCUAAAGUAAAUGAAUAAAUUAUUUUUUCACUAAAAUUAUGUAGAAAUCAUGUUAAUUAUUUUAAUAAUUAACUGGUUUAUAUUAAUUUACAUGUUUUAUCUUCCAAUCACUUAUCUUAUGUAUAAUUUUAUAAAAUAUAUUUUUUACCACACCAUUAAUGCUGUAAUUCUAAUCAUGGCAUUAUAAAAUUUUCCAAUGUGGGGAAACUUCUUUACUCUAAAUAAAACUAGAGUUGUGUUGAGCACAAUUUAAAUAUCUAAACAGAGUUCCGUUGGCAUUAAACUUCAUUAUAAAAGAGUCUACAUUGGCAUCAUGCUAAUCUUAUUGACAAUAUAUAGUUGCCGGUAUUAAUUAUUUUUGCACCAUAGCUUCCGUAGAAUCAAUUGGGUACCCAGUUCCGGAUGAAGGGUUGGAACCGCCGUUGGAGCAUGUACAUAAGAUGGAGACAACUCGAAUGAGUAGUUUUGAAGAAUCAUUGCCGUGGCCAUUUUUGCUUCUACUAGAGCAAAAUUUUGUCCAACACAUAUCCUAGGACCCAAUGCGAAUGGGAAAUAUGAAACUUGAUUUUUCGCCGCCUUUGAAAUUCCUUCCGCAAACCUUUCCGGCUUAAACUCAACUGCAUCGUCACCCCAAAGUUCAGGAUCCUGGUGAACUAGGAUCAUUGGCAAGCCAAUUUGAACCCCAGCGGGUAAUGUCAAGUUUCCGAGUUUCGUUUCCUUAAAAACAGCUCGACUAAGCACAGUUACGGGCGGAUAAAGCCUGAGUACCUCGUAAAGUAUCAUCUGGACCUGUCACAUACAUACAAACACAACUGAGAUUAAUAUGAUCAAAUUGAUCAAUAUCGAAUACUAUUUCCUUCGUACUUACAAUUUUGAGGUGAUUCAAUCCAUCAUAGUCGGGCUUAUUAUUGCCAAACACUUGCAAAACCUCUUGCCUUGCACGUUCUUGCCAAUCUUGAUGCUUGCUCAAUAAGACCAUCGUCCAAUUAAGCAAAACAGAGGUAGUCUCUUGGCCGGCAAAGUAAAAUAGCUUACACUCUUCAAUCACAUCGUUCAUGCUGAACCCAACAUUUUUGUUAUUUCCAUGUUCUUCAAUCUCUCUAAAACUGGUUUCCAUCAGUAUGCCUAACAAGUCAUCAUUCGCAGCUUCCCCUGCUCUCAUUGCCUUCUCCCUAUUUUUGAUGAUUCCCAUCAAUGAAGCCCGGAUUUCCUUGUCAAUUUCUUUCAUUCUCCUAUUUCUCUUUGUAGGUAAAAACCUAUAUAUAACCAAUGAAACAACUGAAAAGACAAGAACUAAACAAACUAAUCAAACCCUUAAUUUUUUUUUUGCCCUCUUUUACCAAUCAGAAAUCUGCUGGAGCCUCUUAGAAUAACUCUAUGAUUAGCACAAUCAAGAUAUCUGAGCCGAAAUCAGCUAGGUCUACUUCUAAUAUUUUGCGGGAAAGAAAAUAACUCCCACAAAGCUAAUCAAAGCCUACUCAUAAAUAAUCCUAUAUGACAUGUAUAUAUGAAUGUUUCCAGUGAAGAGAAAUGUGAAUAUACCUCCAUCCUGGAAUGUGAACUGAACGAAAGACUUGCAUUGUGAGUUCAGCUAGCUCUGCCUGGAGCUGAAAAAUCCUUCUUCCUUCUUCAUAACUACUCCCAAAAGCCGUUCGAGAAAUCACAUCACUUGUUAAAUUUGCAAGAUAAGGCCAUACAUCCAACUCAGAUGAUCCUUCUACAGACAUUUGCUUCUCCCACUUUGUAAUUAUUUCGAUACAACUCAAGUAGAAUGCUGGCAACAUAAGCUGUAACAAAAGCAAGAAAUCUAAAUGAGGGCAAAAUCGAAUCUUCCAAAGAUAUGUAAACAAAUGGAGAAGUUAAUUAAUAAACCUUGAGCUUCUCUUGGUGGAAGGCUGGGUUGAUGAGUUUUCUAUGUUUAGCCCACUUCUCCCCCUCAAGGGUAGCCAAUCCAACUAUCAGCAGCCUGGCAAGUGGGAUUGAAUUGACUUUUUGAAAAUCAUUGAUCCUGGUAAAUAUCUCUUUUAUUUGAUCAGGAUUCAUAAUGUUCACCCUUGGUGUCGGACCAAACCACAUGAAAGAAUUCUUACCUGCAGAAUUUUUUUACCAAUAUAUACGCACAUGUUACUUGCUAGAGGCAGAUGGUACAUUGAAAAUGGUAGUAUACCUAAGCUGUGAAAAUUUAGUUAUUUUAUUCACAAAUCAGUCAAAGAAUAACCAUUCAUACUAAUUGAUUUUACUUCAAGCAGAAAAGAUCUAACAAGCAACUUUGCCCAUUAUAAGGUAAACAAUUAGAAACAUGGCACGAUUUUAUAAGAUUAUGUAAAAGCCUAAUGGCUUUGAAACAGUGAAUUAAUCAGACAACACUCAGCAAAAGGAACAACGCUGCCCUCUGGAAAUUUUACAUGUGGCAUAGCCCAUCCACUGGUUGAAUUACACCCACACGCCUAUCUCAUCAAGACAUUAGUGGUUCUAGCCACUCGGUCAAGGCUGAGUGGUAAAGUAUCACCACUUAAUUAAAAAGAAAAGAGAGAGAGAGAGAGAGAAGUUUAGCUGCAACAUCGAUUUUUUUCUCUGAUCAAAGAAGCGUAAAAAUAAAAUUAUGUUUUAACCCACCAAAAUUUUCCAGAAUUAUCUUUACGUGAAACAUCUCUUCUGAAUCAGAAGUCUAAUCAAAUUUCUUUCAUCAGACAGGAUUAAUUCUUUAAGCAGUGGCGCAGUCCAGAUAUUUGAGUCAUUUGAGUCCAGAACAGAACAAAUCUACUUUUGAACGAGUAAAGUUAAAAGAGUACACGCCGGGAUUGACAUACAUACCAUAAUCAUUUACCAGUUUAUGAAGGAAUGGAUUGACACGAAUAGCAAUAUUGUCAUCCAAACUGAGGGGUCUGGCUUUGGCUUCCUUCAGCUCGAUGGAAUUUUCUUUCAAGUCACCAAACAGAAGCCUGUAAGAAUUGCCUUUUAAACCUUGCUGUCUCAGGAAUUUCUCCAGCUUCUCGGGCCUCAGCCACACCCAGUUCAGCACUCUCCAUGCCCAUGUUAGCACCGUUACAAUAACAAUGGUCAAAGCUAUGGAUUUCAGAGGCAACUCCAUUUCACACUGACAGAUUUUGUGGGUUUAAAUUUGAAGAGACGAACGAGAAGAGUAUAUAUAGUCAUCAAGCGAAUGAGAAAAUCGUUUUCCUUUGCAUGUGUCUUUGAUUAGGUGUUUUCUGGAUCGAUGAUUUCAGAAUUUCCCCGGACAAAGACAUUGUCCCCAGUAAGCGGUGUUAACGAUACGUGUCAAGCUUGCAUGCGACUGUGAACUGUGGACUUUGUUCUAGAACUAGACUGUAUGGGAUCGAUUAAUUUUAAAAAAUAAACUAAAAUUCAUAUAGUAAGAAUUUUUAAGUAUAAAUGUUUGUAAAAUAAAAUCUAAACCUACAUUUGAAUGGCAAGCAUCUAUAAACAAGAUCUGUAUUCUGUCAUAUGACGCCAGGAAAUAUACUGCCUUUUCGUAAAUGCAUAAUCAAGCAGCAUGAUGUGCUCUGCUUUCACACGAAUGUAGGUCCACUAUGUCUUGGCUUUUACGGAAUUUCAAUUAUAUUGUUAUGGGGAUUAAUGGCUCUGCUUAAUUUUGGGGCCUGCUUUCAGAGAAAUGCAAAACGAUUAGAACUCUGCUUUGUGAUACAGACAAGACGCAAUGGUUCUAUCAUCUUCAUCUCUACUAUUUCAUUUAUCUUUAUCAUGAAUAUAAUCCACGAUUCUCAAACAUGAUAAACAAGGUCACAAACUAUGGUGUACCAAUCGGCUGUUUUUUUUUUUUAACUUAAUUAAUUUAAUUUUAACCAUUUAAAUCAUUGAGUCCAUUUAUUUUUUCAACUUAAUGAAAAUUUUCAAUCACUAAAUCAUUCAGUUAUCAAGCUAAUUUUUAAAUUUUUUGUUUAAUCUAAAAAGUCUAAAUAAUAACAUUAAAAGAUAUUCUCUAAAAUAUCUCUAUCUAAUUAAUUAAUUUUUACCCUUACCUAAAUAAAUUUUAAUAAUUGAUGUUAUUACCUACCUCUAUAACUUGUGAUAAUAUAGUGCACUAGUAGACUACUAUUAUUUUUAAUUUUUUAUUUUCUUCAAAUUAAAAUUAUUUAUCUUCAUAAUUUUUCAUCAAUAUUUUUCAUAUAAAAACAUCGUAAACUAUAGUAAAAAUGAUUAAUAUAUACUAAUUUAGAAUAUUAAAAAGAGUAUAGACAUUAUGAGACAGUAUCAUUAAGCAGCUACUGGAAUAAGAUGUUAUGAGCCUAAAUUUUAUAAGGUCAAAGUUGAAUUUGGCCGAUCCUCUAACCAAAAAAACUAAACAAGAGUUUAGUAGAGAUCACAUCAAGGGAGAUGGGACUAGUGUCUAGAUUAGAAGACAAGAGUGAUGGUAACCCUACCUAUGUGAUUGGAGAUCACAUGAAAAAUGUUCAAUAAGUUACUUGUUGUUUUGGAACACUAUCAAUAUUAUGUAAUCUUAUUUUUAUUCAAUAAAGAUUUUCUUUAUUUAUAAGUCCUCGUUAUAAUAAGAUAAUGUUUAUCGCAGUGAGUUAGGUUAAGCAAUUGAGCUUUUAAUGAACUCCAUAACUCACUUUUUAUGUAUGGUGGUGUGUUAAAACUGCAUGACAUACUUGAUGGAGGUUCACCUAUGUUAGUGUGGAAUUGGAUAAGUUCCUAUGAGAGUUAAACAUGCUUCUCUAGAGCGCUCAUGAAUACAAGAGCACAGGGCUACUAAAGUGCCAAACCGUAGAACAACAAAACAUUGAGAGAGUUUAAUGUGAGCUUCUAGUCAGCUGCCUUACAAAAAAAAGAAUAUUGGUUUAUAGAAAUUAUCAGUUUCACCAAGUUCCUAUGACACAUGGUUAGUUAUUCAAUGGCCAAUUCAUAACCCAAAUGGCACCAGUUCAUAUGCAUUAAACUCUAUGGACAAUGAUGAAAGAAAUUGAGUAUUUUGAAAUAUGUGGAGGAUUGUUAAAGAUUGAGUUUGUAUUUUAAAAUACCAAUAUUCCACAUUGCUUAAACAACAGAGUAUAAGUUGGUUUUUAUAUAGAUACCAAAUAUAGUGUAGUAACAAGCCUAUGAAGAGGAGGCCCAUAUGCAUGAAACCAAGAGCGAGUGAGGAGCUCAUUCCAUGACUCUAUUAAUUGGUUGCUCGUACCCAAUAACUCACUCGCAAUGGGGACCCUCCUUCCCCCCAUGGGGUGUUGUGUAUAUGUGUGGGCUUGGCCAUUUAUUAUGUUUUUGUCCUUUGUUUUAAUUUUAUUUAUUUUAAUUUGAAUUAAAUUGAGAAUUUAAUUCCUAAUCGAAUUAGGAUUUAAUAAAUAUAAUUAGAGUGAUGAUACAGCCAUAAACUCUUGUACAAACUUAUUUUGUACAAACUGAUGUGUCAUUAAUUCAUUGGCUGAAUAAAAAUAUAAAAUAAUAAAAAUAAAUCAUGUGGGCCAAGUAAUAUUUAAUUUAACCAAUCUUAUCAUGCCACAUCAGUUUGUACAAAAUAAGUUUGUACAAGAGUUCGUGACUAUAUCAUUACUCAUAUAAUUAUAAUUCGAAUUUAGAGAGGAAAAAGGGGUUAGGGCUUGUAUCUAUUUAAAGAGCCGAAUAUAUCACACUAUGGUCAUCCGAAAAUUUACUCUCUUGCUCUCUUCAUCCGAAAACUUACUCUCUUGCUCUCUGUUCUUUGUUGCUCUCUGUUUUCCUUUCUUUCGUCAUUGUACGUUUUGCUAUUCUAAACUAUCAAGUUGAAGUGCAACAUCACAAUCGUAAUAGUAAUUGUAUCAUAGAAAUCAAACUACUUUUGUUAGCCCUUCUUGCACCGAAAUACUGCAUCUUGAGAUAUCUUAAGGACAGUGCUAUCGCCAGCCUUAAAUGUUUGUUGUUUCCGUCCAAAUUUCAUUGUUUUUCAUCCUAAAAUUCCGACUGCUAGACCAGUAUAACUACUGGGGGAUAGAGCCUGGAUACCUAGUAGAAUAUCAUUUGAACAUGUAAGAUAUGCACACAAAAAGCAAAUUAAUACGACCAAAAUUUAUCAACUAUAGUAAAGCAUAUUUCAACUCAAUUUCAUUCGUACUUACAAUUUUGAGGUGAUUCAAUCCACCAUAAUCUUGCAAAAAACUUGCAAAAACUCUUUUCUUGCACGUUCUUGCCAAUCUUGAUGCUUGCUCAAUAGCAACAUUGUCCAAUUAAGCAAAACAGAGGUAGUCUCCUGGCCAGCAAAGUAAAAUUGCUUGCACUUUUCGAUCACAUCGUUGAAGCUUAUUCCAACAUUUUUGUUGUUUCCAUGUUCUUCAAUUUCUCUAAAAUUGGUCUCCAUCGGUAUGCCAAGUCAUCAUUUCCAGCUUCCUCUGCUUUCAUUGCCUUCUCUCUGUUUUUAAUUAUUCCCAUCAGUGAAGCUCGUAUUUGCUUGUCAAUUUCCUUCAUUCUCUUAUUUCUUUCUGAAGGUACCAGCCAGCCUAUAAGAAAUAGGAACAAUAGAAAAUACAAGAACGUAUUGAAUGCACUAAUCAAAUCCUACUUAUCGAUUUCAACAAUAUGAUUAACAUCUUAGAUUAACUAUAUGACGACAUGGAUCGAAGUUAUAAGCCCAGGAUGGGCCAAACCUACUUCCAUAUUUUUGAAAGAAAAUCAACUCCUACAUUGCUAAUUACUCCCAGAAGCCGUCCUCAGAAUCACAUCACUAGUUAAUUUUGCAAGAGAAGGCCGUACACCCAACUCACACGAUCCUCCUUUGGACGUCAGGUUCUCCCACUUUGUAAUUAUUUCACUACAACUUUGGUAGAACGCAGGCAACAUAAGUUGAAACGAAACAGAAAGAAAUUAAAAUGAAGACAUUUAUGUAAACAAAUGAAGAAAUCAAUUAAUAACCUAGAGCUUCUCUUGGUGGAACUGGUUCAUAAGAUUUCUAUAUUAACCCACUUGUCACCUCAUGGCUAACCAAUGCAAGUGCCAAUAAUCUGGCAAGUGGAUCUGAAUUGAUUUUUUGAAAAUCAUUGAUCUUGGUAGAUAUCUCUUUGAUUUGAUCGGGCUUCACAAUAUUCAACCUUCGUGUCGGACCGAACCACAUAAAUGAAUUAUUGCCUGCAUCAAUUUUUAAGCUCUGGUUAUUUUGCUCGUGGCAUAACUUACCACAGCUUGAGUUACACCCAUUAGCCCAUGAUAUCAAGAAAAUUAUUGGUCUCGCAAACAACAUAGCUCAAAUGUUUCAACACCAUACAUAUUUUCUUCAUUAAUAAAAAAACAAUUACGUUUUAACCCAUAAAAAUAUUCAAGAAUUAUCUUGAUGUGUAUGAUCUCUACUAACUACAAUUAUAACGAGAAGUCUAUUUGGAUUUCUUCCACUUAUAACAGCUCUACAAUUGUGCAAACUGAAUUAGUUUUAUUAAUAAUGGCACAAUCCAGUCGAGAUAUUAUCGUCUAAACUUUCUUUCAAGUCACCAAACAGAAGCCUGCAAGAAUUGCCUUUGAAACCUUUGCUGUCUCAGGAAUUUCUCCAGCUUCUUGGGCCCCUCAGCCACACCCAGUUCAGCACUCUCCAUGCCCAGUUCCCACUGUUACGAUAACAAUGGUCAGGUCUAUGGAUUUCAGGGGCAAUUCCAUUUCACACAGAGAGAUUUUUGAAGUGUUCAAAGAAAUGAGACUUGCCUACGUGGUAGAUUAGUUGAAAGUGAAUUAAAAAAAUAUUUUCGUUUGCAUAUGUUUAAUGGCUUUUCUUAGUUUCGAAUUUUCCUGUACCAUUAUAUUGUUUCCAGCUAAUGGUACACGUGUCAAUAUCAAUCAUGCAUGUGGUGAUCUUUGUGGACUUGUCACUCAUUGACUGUCUUCUAUAGAACUAGAGAAUGUAAGUUCGGUUAAUUAUUUGAAAAAAAAAAUUGUUUACCCCUAAUACAUUAAUUAUUCUCAAAAUAUCCUCAAACUAUAAUAAACAUUAAUCAAUCCACAAUUACUAUUAAGAAGGUAAAAAAAGAAAAAAGAAAUCAUCAAUCGUUCCCAUUUGAUCUUAUUUUUUGAAUGAUCAUUAGGGUAAAUUAAGGUUUACAAUAAUUUAGAGAUAACUGAAAUUAAUAAAAAAAUAAAUAAAAUAAAACUCAUCUAAAUAAAUUAUGCAUGGUGGGCCUAUUUGCGCUUUAAAAAAUACUCAAAAUAUACUAUUAUUUAUGUAUACUCAUUUACUUAUUUUAUAAAAAGGGUAGGGCUAUUUGCACUCUUAACAUUACUAUGAAUAUUCUUAUUUUAAUAAAUUAUUUUAUUACAAAAAUACCUAUUAUAUGAAUUACUAAUAUGGAAUCUCUCUUAUAAACUAACAUAAUAAAAUUACUCCAAACACUCACUAUUCAAUAUAUGAUUAUCUUGCCAUAAACCCGAAAAAUUUUUAAUCCAAUAUCUUAAACAAUAUUUAGUUAAACAAAGAGCAAAUCAAUACUUUUAAUAUAUUUUGAGCAUAUUUUUACUCUUUGAUUUUCAGAAGAAAAAAAAAAUUGCAGUCUUCUUCCUCUUCCUCAUCCUUCUUUUAGUCUUCUUUUUCUUCGGCUAUUUCUUCUUCCUCUUGUUUUCCUUUUUUUCUUUUUUUCUUUUUUUUUGGCUAGAUGGCAAAAAUAUUUUCAAUUGUUUGGUUAAAAAAUUGGGUGCAAAAACUAAUAUUGAAUACAUUCUUUAAUAGACAAAAGCUAAUAAAGAAUAUGUUUAGAAUAUAAUUUGAUUCCUUUGUGUACAUACUAAGUUGUUAUUAAUUCAUUUUGGAUGCUCAAUAGUUUAAUUGGUGUUUUGAGUAAAUUAGUUUAACUAGUUUAAUUAAGGUCUUUUUUUUGUAUUUUAAAGAGUGUAGAAAGUAAAUUUUAAUUAUUUUAAAUUCAGCACAUGAUUGUACAGACUAAUAAAGUGUUCAAAGUAAUUUUUGGAGUAUAAAUAACCUAAUCUUUUGAAAAAUGGUGGGACUAUUUGAAUCCACCAUAAUACUCAUUUGACCCACUUUUUAGAAAACAUUUUUACUACUAAAUUGUCUCUAACGUAAAUCACUAUUAAAGACAUAAUAGUAUGUAUAUACUUCAUGCUCUCAUCUUUUAAUCAUGUCUAAAUCUGUUCAAUGUAGACAUAAGAGAAAAUUGGUUUCAUACUUUUAAAUUUUUUUUAAAAUUUUCUUCAACUCCUUUGGUCGAAAACAAAUCUAAUCGAGUUGUUGGAUACUUGGAUUUGGUCAAAACUAUCUCACCAGUAAAGCUCAUUCGAAUCCAAUAAACCAAUAAGUUCUAGUCAAGAUAUUCUAGAUUCAAGCAAUAAAAUUUAGGAAAAUUAUCAGUCAUAUACUUUUAAAUGACACCCGCAUUAAACGUGUGUGAACACUUUUCAAAUGUAUCACUCGUGUACCCUAAGAUGACAAAACACUUCUGCCAUCCGCCAAUCCGUUAACUUCCGUUUGCAAGCGUUGACAUCAUAAGGGCAAUUUAGUCUUUUAAGAUUGACGAAACUUUGAUUUACAAAAACGACAUGUCAUCUCAUUUACCUAGUACAAAAUGACAUGUCAUAUGAUAUAUAUUGACAAAAAUGACAUGUCAUCCCAUUUAUCGGAUAAUUGUUAAUAAUUGCUAAAAAAACUACUUUACAACCGAAUCUACUCCUCUAAAAUUUAACCUAAUUUUGAAGAUCUACUCCUCCAAGUUCCAACUGGAAAGUUUUAUGGUAUAAUAUGUAUAAUUGUGAAUAAUAUGUUGUUAAUAAUUUUUUAUGGUAUAAUAUGGAUAUUUUUUAUGAAUAAUUGUUAAUAAUAUGUACCAUUAAUAAUUCAUUUUUUUAAUAAAAAAAUGUAUUGUUAAUAACAAAAUAAAAAAAAAUUGUGUAUUGAAAAUUUACGUUAAUUUUUGGGGUAAAUUUAUCUUUUUACCUUAUAUUUUGAGUUUCAAGGGUAAAAUAGUCAAUUUGUCACAAUUCUGUUAACUUUCUAAUGGAAGUUAACGAAUCUAAUGGAAGUUAACGAAUUGAUGGAUGGCAUAAGUGUUUUGUCAACUUAGGGUAUACGAGUAAUACACUUGAAAAGUGUUCACACACGUUUGAUACGGGUGUCAUUUAAGAGUAUAUGGCUGAUAAUUUCCCUAAAAUUUAUUUCAUUAAAUUUGCACUAUAUAAGAAAGGGAAAAGUUAUGCCAUUGACAAAUAUUGAGCGCUUGAAUUAGUUGUGUGAUCAAUUGAUUAUUGAUUACAACUAUCAUCUUAUUGUCAUUUAAUUUUUUCAUGAUAUUAUAUAUAUUUUAUAGCAGUUUAAUGACAAGCACGGACAAAAAAUAAAUUCCACUUGAGAAGUUGAAGGAUACGACCUUUGGUUAUGAAUGCGUCAAGGGUUGGAGAGAUGGAAGAAGAAGAAGAGAAGAAAAAUGUUGCAGAAAAUCAUGAAUUAAUUUCAAGGAUAUGUUGGUUAUUAACAUGGGUUUAUAAAGUAUAAUAUAAAAUUUUUAACAAUAGAAUUAAUAAGUAGAUGAGUUUACAAAGUAAUUUGGUGGGUUCAAAUAUACUCACUCUUUAAAAUAAUUAGUUUUUACUCUGCAUACUCUUUUUUUUUUUUUUAUGAGAAAGUAAAGCUUUCAAUUGAUUAAGAAGAAGAAAACAACAUCAACACCUAGACAGGGAAAUCACCUAUCCAGGUGACAGCAUCCUCAAACUCAAGAGCUACAUUAGCUAAGUUAUGGGCUAUUACAUUACACUUUCUUGGGACAAAACGAAUAGCUGCCGAGGCCUGGUUUUUCAACUCUGCUUGUAUUUCUUCAAUGUUCCAACAAAUUUUAGCUAAACUUUCCUUCUUGUUUAAAGUGAGCUCCACAACUUCCUUCAAGUCUGAUUCAACAAUGAAUUGGGCACAAUUUGUUUUCUGAGCUACUUGAAUACCGAGCAGCACUGCUUCUGCCUCCAUGUUUGCCACAUUUCCUUUUAAAGCUACUCUCUUAACAGCUGCAGCCAUGAUCUCAUAAAAUACUAAAAAAGCUACUCUCUUAACUCUAUACACUCUUUAAAAUACUAAAAAAGUCCUCAACAAAACCUUUAAGUAAAUCAAUUAAGAAUUUCAAGCUAAAAUAAAUCUAUACAUGUAAUCACAAUUUAUUAAAAAUGGUAGUAAAACUUUUAUAUUUGAAGUCAAGUACUUAAUUACCAAGCUUAAAUAAAUUAAACAAUUAAAAUUUAUUCAUCUUUUUAAAUUUUAAAAUAUUAUUAGUCAAAAGUUUCAAUAAUAAACUAAACUCAACUUAACAUAAAGUUAUUUGGGUGUCAUUGUUUCUUUGUCAUACACUCUACCUUUUUUUUUAAGAACCUACUGUUGACUGUUUUUCUAUCAAAAACUCCUUAAAAUAUUUAAAUUUUAUCUUCUAACUUGUCCUCUUGGUUAAUGUAACUAAUAACUAAAAUCUCAAAAUUCACAUAAAAGUUUAUGAAAUGUUGAUAUAUAGUUGUUACUAUAUUUUGUUUUUGUAAGUAUUGGCAUUUUUUCAAUUAAAUUAUUUUUAUAAAUAAAUUAAAACAGUAAUAAUAUUUUAGUCCCCAAAUCUUUUCAAUCUAUUCAAUAAAUAUAUAAUUUAAUUUUUUCAUGAAAUAAGUCACUAAUUCCAAUUGGGAAGAAAAUAUAAUUGAAUUAGGAACAUAUUUAAAAAUAAAAUAAAAACUCUAUUAUUUUAUAAAAAUUGAUAAAAAAAAAAAAAACAUAAGGGUAGUUAAAUUAGGGACAUAUAUGAAAAAAAUAAAACUAUAUUAUUAUAUAAAAUUAAUGAAAAAAUAAGGGGUAUAAAUAACUUUCCUGGACUAAUCCGGGCUACACCCCCGCUUAGGUCCGCCUGCGCACUCAUUACUCCAAAUACAACGUUUAAAUUUUAAAAUCAAAUUUUUACUAUGUAAAAUAUAUAAAUCUAAAAAAUAGUCUUGAAUUGUUUUUUUUUUUGGGGCUCCUGUUUUAUUAUUCUUUUUCUAAAGUAAUUUCUCUCUUCUUAUUAAAGGCUUGAGAUAAAUUAUAUAUCCCUUUUUCUUUUAUUGAAUCAUAGUUCUUCGUUUCUUUUAUUGAAUCAUAGUUCUUGUGAUUUUGAUUUUUAGUAUGUAUUGCCUACAAUUUAUCAUUGAGGUAUCAGUUACAUAAAUAUAAUUUUCCGUUAAUCUUAUUUCGAAGAUGUUAAUGAAAUAUAUUUGGUGAAAACGAUAUUAGAGUGAGGAUACGUGCACCCAUGACAAAAAUUUGCAAAGAAGUCUUCAAUCUUUCAAAUUUUCCAAUUGAUAAAGAAUUGAUUUAAAAAAGAAGAAGAAGAUGAUGAUGGUGAUUUAAGAUUUUAUAAUACAUGGGUGUGUCAAGGAUAUUUGUUUCAAGUUAAAAUUAUUCAAUCCUUAAUACUAAUUUCAUAAAAGGGCAUUUUUAUAAUAUAAAUUUUUAUUAAAUAAAGAGGAUUAAAAAUAACUUUUAGAAUAUAUAAAUAAAUAGCCUCACCCGAUUAUAAAGUACAAGGUCACUCGAUGAUGUCAUGAAUUUAUGUAAUCAAAUAUGAAUUAUGUAAAUGAAACAUAAGACUUAUAAAUUUAAUAUAAAACAUGUAAAUCAAUAUUAAUAGUGAAAUAACAUAUAAAUUAUGUAAAUAAAAUAUUAGACUUGUAAGUAGAAGGUAAAACAAACAAAUUAAUAUAAGAGUGAUAAAUUGGUAUAUUAUUGGUAAACAAAAGAAAAACUUACAAAUGUAAUAUAUAAUUUAUAAAUCAAUAUUAAGUGUGAAAUAAAAUAUAAAUUGCGUAAAUGAAACAUAAGACAUGUAAAUAAAAGAUAAAAAAAAGUAAAUUAAUAUAAGAUUGGUAAAUUAAUGUAUUGGUAGUAAACAAAAUAAAAAUUUAAAGACAUAAUAUAAAGCUAUAAAUCAAUAUUAAGUACAAAAUAAAACAUAAGUUUAGGUGUAAUUUACAAAAUUAAUAUAAGAGUUAUUAAAAAAAACUUACAAAUGUAAAAUAAAAACUCAUUAUAAUAUUGAUUACCUUAUUUAUUUAUUGAUUCUAUUUUAAAUUGAAUAAUGAUAGUUUUGGUCUUAUGUAAUAAAUGUGAUGUUUUAUAUAAAUUUAUUCUCAAAAUUAUAUUUUGAAAUCUAUUCUUUUAAUGUUUUUCAAAUUUAUUGUAAGAUGACAUGAUUUCUCAUCCUUCUAAAUCUCCUCAUUAGCAAUGCAAAUAGUUUCUAAAUACAAGUAAGAGGUGACGGUUAAAAUUACAAAAAGCAUCUGUAACACUCAAAAUUAGAUAUAAUUUUAUUGAUAUGUCAUAUAUCUGUUUAGUAAUAUAAGAAUAUGUUUUUUUUUUUUAAUCCACAUUAAGAUAAAUUAUUUCGCUUUGUUAACUUGUGUAGUAAAAAAAAAAAAACAAUGACAGAAAAUGAAAAAAAAAAGUUUAUAAAUAUCUUAAGACAAAUAUAGAAUUUAUUCUUAAACCAAUUCAAUAAAACUUAUUCUACUUGUUUUCAGUAUAAUUUUUUUGGUCUUAAAUUGAUGACUAUUUUUUUUUCAUUGUUUAGCUAAAGUAAUGAAUAAAUUAUUUUUUCACUAAAAUUAUGUAGAAAUCAUGUUAAUUGUUUUAAUAAUUAACUGGCUUAUAUUAAUUUACAUGUUUUAUCUUCCAAUCACUUGUCUUAUGUAUAAUUUUAUAAAAUAUAUUUUUUACCACAACAUUAAUGCUGUAAUUCUAAUCAUGGCAUUAUAAAAUUUUCCAAUGUGGGGAAACGUCUUUACUCUAAAUAAAACUAGAGUUGUGUUGAGCUCAAUUUAAAUAUCUAAACAGCUCUUGUCUAAGCUUUGAAUCUCAAUACAAAAUUAAAGGUGUGUUUGGCACGCAGCAUUACACCACAUUAAAACUCUGUAUUGUAUUAAAUCAAUACAAUAUCAUGUUUGGUAAAAAGUUAACUUUGUAUUAAACCUCAUUAUAAUACACCAAACGCCGCAAAAAAUAAACCCGUGGGGGAGUCGUAAUUAGGCCGCAUUGCAUUCGAAAAGAGAAAUAAAAUAUUUUCUUCUUCCAAACACGAUCCUCAGCCACGACCAUGAAACAAAAUUUCCCUUCUCAAAACCCAAAACAAUACUUUUCUCUCAAACUCACUCAUCUAUUCACUGAUUUUCCUCCAUUCUCCUUCAAUUUCUCAAGAGCCAAACAUAGCAAACGCCUUGUCAGUGCGGCCAAGCCCAGCCGUCGUGCAGCGUGAAUCAUUAAAUGAGUGGUGCAGCCGCAGCAUCUGAAUCUUUAAUUGGAGCGACGGUGUCAUUUGAAUUCGAACAACAGCGUGGUGCGGCGGUGGUGCUAUGGCGAGAUUCGAACGGAUUCACGUGCAGAUUUCAUUUUUCCAUUUAGGUAUUCAAGUGUUUUAGUUGAUGGCUCUAUAAAGCCAAAUAAAUAAAUAAAUAAAUAAUAAUAAUCUAUUGAAAUCAUUUUCAUGAAAUCUGGAAGUGUAGAGGCGUUGAUGUGAGAGAGAGUGAGUAAGAGGGUAGUGGAGAUUGUGGUGUUGAAUUGAUGAAUUUAGGAGAUGGGCAUUUUUUUUUUUAAUUUGUUGGCUUGUUUGUUGGUUUGAAUGUUUGUGUUCUGUUUUCUAGCAAUUGUUGUGGGAAUGAGGUGAAUGUUAAGAAUUUGGAGAAGAAUGUAAAAAUAUUGGUGAUUCGAAUUUUUCAAAAAAAAAAAGAAAAUCAUGGUUGAUUCUUGCAUGAAUAAGAUGAUUGCUGCUAGAACAGUCAGUUACUUUUUUUUUUCUGUUUCCCAAUGUUUCACUUUUCCAACUCUUGUUGAUUCAGGGGAAGCCUGAGUUGGUGGCCGAUGAUGAAACCAAGAUGGCACAGAUGGUUUGCUCUCCAACAAACCAUGAAGAGUACACGGCUUGUGGAAGUUAAAGGAGCAAAUUCUGGUUAUAUUCCUUGAAAAAUAUAUAUUACCUAGGCAUAGGUUACUGACCCUUAAUUGAAGGGGGCAUGUUUUGAUAAUAUGGGUAUCUGAAGUAUGAUUAAAUAACUUUAACAUGAAGUAACUUAAAAUGCUAUGUAUAGCUUAUGUGUUAAUAUAUCUUGUUAACUGUAUAGUUCCUAUUUUGUGCUGGGUUGCUGUAUUAAGAGUUUGAAUACUGUGGAACCUGAAGUAACGAUGACAAUUUAUUGAAUUAGGUUAUGACAAUUUAUUGAAUUAGGUUAAUUACAAUUAACACUAGUGUUACUCAUGAUUGCAAAGUUGUAUUUUUUGGUCCGAUUUUAUCCUAGGAAUGAUAUGAGAAGUUUUAAAUAUGGUGCUUUACUUAAGAUUUUAUAUGCCUUCUUGUGAAUUCAUGCAUACUUAUUCAUGUCUCACAUCUUCUCAUUGGGUGCUCAGAACGCAUUUUGGUAAUUGCAUGCAAUAACAUUGAGGGGUGAAUGGUGAUGGCCUCCUUAAAUGGAAGAAAUGAAUGAAUGGAUUAGGAGAAGCCACAGUAAGAGUGGAGUGCAUUUGAAAUUCCUAUCACACCCAUUUGGAUGCACUGUUUUCCACUCUAUUUAAAUUUCCUUUAUCCUUCAAAUUAAGUUGAAAGUAGUUUUGAAUUUUGAUGAUGGAGCCUUAGACUCUUGAAAAUCUUGAAGAUUGCGAUGUUGCUGAAGAGCAUGGAGAUGGAGUGAUUGCUGAAGAUGCUGAAGCUGGUGUUGCUAUUGUUGCUGCAAUAGUGAAGUUGUUGAGGUUAGUAGCAGCAUUGUAAAUGGCGGUGUUGUUGCUGCUGAAGAGAGCCCGCAUGGUAAGGGAUGAUAUUUGACAUUAUUUAUGGAUAUAGCAUAACCGUUCUUAUUCUAAUAUUCAACAUUAAUUUUACAGAUGAAGAGAAGCCUUAAUAUUGCUGCUUGCUAGGGAAAGAAUAAGUGAAGAGAAGCUGAAUCAGAUCUUAGAAGACAUGCUUGAAGGUUUUUUUUCCAAUAAAAAGAGAAGCAACAUCACAAAGACUACUUAUUGGGGCAAAAUUAAUAUUGGGAAGAAGAAUAAUCCGUGGGAAAAUGCUAUGUAGAUGCUCCUAAGAUAGAGAUAUAUGAGUUUUGUAACUAAGUUAAUAUCUUGGUUACUAAUUAUAGUGAAACACAUUUAUUUAGAUUCUUAUUAGGUUUAUUAUUUUCUUGGAACUUGCUGUGGACAAAGAAUUUAAUAUGUCAAGUGAAUUGUGUCUAUUGUACAUCGACUUUAACAUAUAAUAAAUCAAUAAAUGAUUCAAUUUUAACAGUACCUGUAUUUAUAUCAAUAAGACUUUCAAAGAUACUAUAAAUAUAAGUUUGUAUAUUUGAAACCCUAGUGUUCAAUAAAUUUGAAUAAUAUUAAUUUAUUAAUAAAUUAAUAUUUUUACAUUAUAAUUUAUUCAUAAAUUUAUAAUUUAUUAUAACUAAUAAUAAAUAUUUAAAUUUGAAUAAAUUUGAAUCAUAUUAAUUUAAAAUUAAUAAUAAUAUAAAUAAUAUAAAAUAUUAACACAAUUUAAAUAUAUUAAUAUAAUAUAAUAUAAUAUUUAAUUUCAAUUAAUCACAAAAAAAUAAUACAGUGUAGCACCAAAUAUUGUACAAUAUUAUUAUAAUACAGUACUAAUGCAAUACAGUAUAAUACAAUACAAUGUGCCAAACGCACCCUAAAUACAUUAAACUUCAUUAUAAAAAAGUCUACAUUGGCAUCAUGCUCAUCUUAUAGUUGCCGGUAUUAAUUAUUUUUGCACCAUAGUUUCCGUAGAAUCAAUUGGGUACCCAGUUCCGGAUGAAGGGUUGGAACCGCCGUUGGAGCAUGGACAUAGGAUGGAGACAACUCGAAUGAGUAGUUUUGAAGAAUCAUUGUCGUGGCCAUUUUUGCUUCUACUAGAGCAAAAUUUUGUCCAACACAUAUCCUAGGACCCAAUGCGAAUGGGAAAUAUGAAACUUGAUUUUUCGCCGCCUUUGAAAUUCCUUCCGCAAACCUUUCCGGCUUAAACUCAACUGCAUCGUCACCCCAAAGUUCAGGAUCCUGGUGAACUAGGAUCAUUGGCAAGCCAAUUUGAACCCCAGCGGGUAAUGUCAAGUUUCCGAGUUUCGUUUCCUUAAGAACAGCUCGACUAAGCAUAGUUACGGGCGGAUAAAGCCUGAGUACCUCAUAAAGUAUCAUCUGGACCUGUCACAUACAUACAAACACAACUGAGAUUAAUAUGAUCAAAUUGAUCAAUAUCGAAUACUAUUUCCUUCGUACUUACAAUUUUGAGGUGAUUCAAUCCAUCAUAGUCGGGCUUAUUAUUGCCAAACACUUGCAAAACCUCUUGCCUUGCACGUUCUUGCCAAUCUUGAUGCUUGCUCAAUAAGACCAUCGUCCAAUUAAGCAAAACAGAGGUAGUCUCUUGGCCGGCAAAGUAAAAUAGCUUACACUCUUCGAUCACAUCGUUCAUGCUGAACCCAACAUUUUUGUUAUUUCCAUGUUCUUCAAUCUCUCUAAAACUGGUUUCCAUCAGUAUGCCUAACAAGUCAUUAUUCGCAGCUUCCCCUGCUUUCAUUGCCUUCUCCCUAUUUUUGAUGAUUCCCAUCAAUGAAGCCCGGAUUUCCUUGUCAAUUUCUUUCAUUCUCCUAUUUCUCUUUGUAGGUAAAAACCUAUAUAUAAGCAAUGAAAGAACUGAAAAGACAAGAUCUAAACAAACUAAUCAAACCCUUAAUUUUUUUUUGCCCUCUUUUUACCAAUCAGAAAUCUGCUGGAGCCUCUUAGAAUAACUCUAUGAUUAGCACAAUCAAGAUAUCUGAGCCGAAGUCAGCUAG
rnacentral:lncRNA from 1 species